UUUUUUUUUUUUUUUUGUAUAACACACUAGAUUAAUAGCUACCAAAUUCAAUUAAGGUAACAUAAUACACUUCGAUUUAGCUAAUGGGGAGAGUUACACGUAUCUUUACCAAGGUUCGGCAUAUUUAACAUAUCUUUGUAUGGUCUUAAAUAUUAGGUACAUUUCUCCAAUUUCUAAUUUUAGUUUUUCCUAUUACAAAUGAUUAUUUAAGUAGUUAACUUAUAUAACUAGUUUCAAGUUAUCACUUUAUAUUUUUAGACAGUUAACAGGCUUUUAGAUAAUAAUAUAAGGAGUUUAAAUAUUUUGAUAAUCAUUAAUUUAUAACCUAGUUAAAUUGAUAAUUAACCUGGUAUUACGGGUUAAAAUUCACUGUUAAUCUAUAAAAACGAUUUGCAUUGUCAGUAUAUAUAACUUAAGUUUUAUUGUAAAAUUAUUUUUACACAAUCUAAAAAUUAACAAAAUUUGCUAGAUAUUACACAGUGAGUAUGUUAUUCGGUGCGCGCCCGAAUAUAGUGGCCGCAGGUUUCCUUUGAAUUUUAUUUUUUUAAAAAAAUUAACAAAAUAUUUGCCGGUAGACUACCCCACAAUGACAAAGUAUGGGAAAUAAUUGCAAUUGCGAGAACCUAAAGGGAAUAGGAGUUAUAACCAAUAAAUUUUAGUGCAAAGAAUUUGACCAACUGCCUACCAAUAACAACUACCUACCACCUUCUUGUCCUAAUAAUAAACCCCACCUCUACCUCUACCUCUACCUCUACCUCUACCUCUACUCCCUCCAAAUUGUUGGCGAUUCAAUUCACAUCACAAGAAAAAACAAUAAAAACAAACAACAAAUAGUAACAAGAAAGAAGUUUCUGAAAGUUAUUAAUUACUGUAGCUUUAUACACACACCAUAUAUAUUAGCUACUGAUCACCAAACACAGACAAAGACUCUCCCCAAAACAACAAAGAACUCUCCUUCACGUUUCCUUUGUGGGGUACUUUGUGGGGUAAAUAUUACUUCCUCUAUAGUUUAUUAUAAUUUUUUCCACUGUUUUCAGAAAUACCCUGAAAAAAAAGUUUAGAGCUUUGAUUCUUGUAUUGACCUUUUUCUUGAUUUUUCAGGUGAGUUUCUUGUUUUUCUGCUAAACCCACCUUUGUUUCUUGUUGAAAAGAAUUAAAGUUUGGAAAUUGAUUAAUUUGGGUAGUUGGUAUUGGUUAAAUUUUGAAAUUGAACUGAGUUUUAGAAGAAUACAUGUGAAAGCUUGGAUUUCUUUUAGUUAUCUUGGUUAUCAGUUUGAUUUAUGGGAAGGACUAAGUAAGAAUUUGUAUUUACUGGAAGAAAGUUGUGAUCUUGAUGUUAUGGAAAGGACUAAGUAGGAAUUUUUUUAUUUUUUUUUAUUUUUUGGAGAAGAAAGUUGUGAUCUUGAUGAUAUGGGAAGACUAAGUAGGAAUUUAUCUUCUUUUUUGGAAGAAAGAUGUGAAUUGUGAUUCUGAUGUUAAAGGGUGCAUAAUUCCUGUUGAGUGUAGCUUUUGAGUGAAAUCCUUUAUUUGUUGCAAUUGUUGAUAAAGAACAAUGAAGAAGGGAGCCUUGGAGCAAUGGUAAAGUUGUCCCGUGUGACCUAUAGGUCACGGGUUCGAGCUGUGGAAGCGGCCAUUAAUGGUUGCAUUAGGGUAGGCUGUCUAUAUCACACCCCUUUGGGUGCGACCCUCUCCCGGACCCUGUGUGAAUGCGGGAUGCCUUGUGCACCGGGCUGUUUUUUUGUUUUUUUUUAAGUUGAUAAAGAACAAUGAAAUUUGGUGCAUAGUCAGCUCAGGAUGUGUCAAUGAUACUACACCCUCGUCGAGGAGACCGGAGAUCAUAUACAGUUUACAUAAUUCUUGUCAUUUAGCGGGAAACUGAUAUGGUGCAUUUCAUUUUAGGGAGUGAGAGUGUUUAAACUUUGGUUACUUUAGUUAGCUUAUGUUGAUCAUUUGCUGCAUGAUUCCCUUUGAAAAAGUCUUGAGGCUCAUCUGAGGGAGAACUGGAUGCAGAAGUUUUUCAUUGCAGGUCGAUAGUUCAGCAUUGCACAAUGUAGGGGAUGAAUAAGUUAAUGUUAGUGUUUGUGAAUCUCCUUUUUUAUAUGCUUAAUUUUGGGGUUCAGGCUUAAAAUUGGAGGAAUGCUCAAACAAAGCUAUGUGCUUGGACAAAAGAUAAUGAAUGCUGUUGUGAUCAAUUCUGAGUGGUAUUUGUUGCUAUGGGUUUAUGAUUCUCCUUCUCUACACCUACAAAGCUAUGUGCUUCGACAAAACGAGUAAACUAUCCUGACGAGCAUAGUGCAAUGUGCAUUUCCAAUAGACUCUUCUACAAUUGAUUUUUUUCUCUCACCAGCCACACUUAUUUGAGUUCUUAAUAUUACUUCAACAGUACAAGAUGGUCAAACCCUUGAAUUGUUAUGGAUCUGAUUCUUGCUAGAAAGUCUCUUGGCGAAUUUUUAAGGCAAAGUGCUUACUUUUGUCUUGCUUUAUUUCUCGUUCCAGCAGCUUCAUCCCCCCCAACAAUGUCAAGCUUGGAAGAGCCUCUUAACCUGGACAGGUUGCCAAGUUUGAGCAACAUUGAUUGGCUAGAGAGAUUCUCAUCUGGUGGCUGCAGGCCUAUAGGAGAAGAUAUGGCGAUGGGGGACUCCUGGACUGAUGGGAGAAGUUGCAGCUCAUCCAACAGCUGUGUGUAAGUAGAUAAAGUGUUGCUCUUAUUAAGCUAGUAUAUAUCAUGACUCAGGUUGUGCUUUUCGGUGUUUCUCUCUGCACAACUUAGAGUGACAAAUAGUGAUGGGGAGCCAUUUCUUGUACUGUAUAUGUCUUUGCACGGGGUUAGAUGCUUAUAUCCUUUUUUUGCAAGUUGUUCCUCUUGCUCAUUCUUAUUAUAUUUGACUUCAAGGUGCCUGCUCCUUCCACUGAUUUGUUUUUGAGUAACAAAGGUUCAAAUAGGCCGAUAUCUUGGGUAAAAUUGAAGCCUGCAUGAACAUAAAAAUCGGUGUUAGGAAAAAUUAUUCAUAAUGUAGAUCUGUUUGUAUUGCUAUUAUAAUGGUUUCUGUUGUUUUGGAUCAUUAAUUUCUAUCAAUGUCUUGAGCAAUGUUUUAAACAAAGCUAGAAUGUUAUCUUUUUCGUGACAAAGGACACAACUUUUUCCACUCUUUCUUUGAAUAAAAGAGUUCCUAUCAUUUGGUGGUUCAUUAACAGAGGCACUAUUAUCUAAUAAUCCUUGAAGUUUCUCGCCACUUGGCAUCUCGACGUGGAUUUUUUUUUUUUUAGGAAUUUUCGCCUUGAUGUGCUUGACUGAAUUUCCCAGACCCCACUUGUGGGAAAUUACUGGGCUUGUUGUUGUUGAUGAUGUGCUUGACUGAAUUUGAUGUAUGAAAUUCCUAAUAUGUUUGUCUUCAGUGAAGAUGAUGACGAAUAUGGGAGAGAGAAUUUCAAAUGGAGAAGACAUGGAUCGCGUAACGGCAUCUCAAGUCGAAGGUCCAAGAGUUUUAGCACUAAUUAUAGAGUAUGUGGAACUGUGUCUCAUUCACAGUACUUGACAGAUCAUCAAUAUAAAUCUUACAGCAACCAUAGAAGUACAGUGAGUAAAACGUUCAAGGUAAUUCGUCGAAGUCCUUUUUGUCCCUCUGUUAGCUCGUCUAGAAAACAUGGAAUGAACAGUGAUUCUGGUUUGCCUGAAUGUUUUUGGUUUAUCGUACAUCAGUUGGAGAUCCAACACAAUGAUAAUGUUUUAUUUCAAGACAAUUGUUUCUUUAUUACGUGCACAGAUUUCCGGUCCUUCUUAAUCAUUUUAAUUUCCUGAUUGUUUCUUUGUCUGGUAACAGUUGUUUGAUGGCAUGCCAAAGUAUGUGAAGAUAGUGGAAGUUGGUCCAAGGGAUGGGUUACAAAAUGAAAAGAAUAUUGUUCCUACAUCAGUGAAGGUUGAAUUAGUUCAAAAACUUGUCUCUUGCGGGCUACCUGUUGUUGAAGUGACGGGGUUUGUUUCUCCAAAAUGGGUACCUCAGGUAAUUCUUCCUCCUUUUAUAUAUAAGGAAACCUCUUUUGCUGAACUUAAACAUUGGCUAUAGCCUAUAUAGAAGCUUGCUUUAGACUCUGUGAUUAAAUAGCUUGAUUUUUAUGCGUUUAUUCUGUGAAACUUUUCCUUACUAUACUCAUUCUCCUGCUUCUUUUUGAUAGCUGUCGGAUGCCAAGGAUGUAAUGGAGGCAGUGAAGGAUCUGGAAAGUGCCAGAUUGCCUGUAUUGACACCUAAUAUGAAAGUAUGUAGCACUUAUUGGAAAAAAUUUCAUGCUUUAGCUACCACUUUCUUCGUCUGAUAAUUAUAUUGGUGUUAUUUGAAUUUCUGUUAGGGCUUUGAAGCAGCUGUUGCAGCUGGGGCGAAAGAAGUAGCUGUCUUUGCAUCAGCUUCGGAGUCUUUUUCAAAGUCAAACAUUAAUUGCAGUAUUGAGGAAAGCCUUGUCCGAUAUCGAGCUGUUACUUCUGCUGCCAAAAAGCUGUCAAUACCCGUGCGCGGGUAUGCAUUUCAUGCCCACAUAUCUUUAUAUUAAAUGAAAUGCUCUUUCGUUUUCUAUUUUUCCCAUGAGUUCGAAUUCAUUGACCUCUAAUGAUCAUUUGAAUUGCCUUAAUUUUGAAGCGAGCCGUCUAAAUUACCUCACUUCCUAACUUCAAUUUCAUUAGUAGACUAAUGACAGGAUGAGGACCUUAAUAUUAUUGGAUCAACAAUCCUUGUUACUAGUAGCUAUCAGUUUGUUUUUAGUAUUUAUCUCUUUAGAUUAGAUUGCAUUUAUCGAUAUUAUAGUUAGGUAUUCAGAGUUAUCCCUUUGAUUUAGAUAGGAUUCGUCAGUUAUUUGGUUUACAUAAAACUCUAGAAAGAUGGUUACUGUAACUUGUAUUUAAACUCAUUGAGGCAUUCAAUAACAGAAAUAGUAUUUCCAUCAUCUAUUCAAGUGUUCAUAAAUAUUUCUAUAGGGAAAGAGAAGAAGAAAUCUUAUUAGUUUGCUGCAGCCAGCUUGGAUGUUGUAGCAUGUUGCAUUUUAUGCCUUACCAUCAUAUGUGGUUCAAACUUAAAAAUCUGACCUUUCAAUGCGUGACAGAUAUGUAUCAUGUGCUAUUGGUUGCCCAGUCGAAGGAGAAAUUUCACCUUCGAAAGUGGCAUAUGUAGCAAAGGAACUUCAUGACAUGGGAUGCUUUGAAAUCUCCCUUGGAGACACAAUAGGAGUCGCUACUCCAGGUAAAAUAUUUUGAACGAUGUACUUUACUUUUCCAGUGAAAAAUGCCUUAGUUUUUCAGUGAUUACUUCAACUGAAAUGCUAUUUAUGUUUCUGAACUAGUUCUAUGAUUAGGUUCCUAAACUCAAGUUUUUUCUUUUUGGUAAGUGGUUCAAAAACAAAAGUAUUUUGUUGCUGAAAAAAGGAUUUUUUCCAGUGUAACCAAGCUUAUUGGAUUAGAAAAUACAACAUAUACAGUUAAGAUAUAGCUUCGACCUCUUAUCUUGCUUUAGUUGGUAUCUAAAUCGUAUUUCAAUUGGAUGGUUGGUAAGAGCGGAUAGGAACGAAAAACAGAGUUUCUACAUAUUAAAUUUGUGGAGUGACUUCCUAAAAAAAAGUGUGUGACUUAACUUCCUUUCCAUGUUAUUUUGUUUUACAGGAAGUGUUGUUCCUAUGCUUGAAGCUGUGAUGGCUGUGGUUCCUGUUGAAAAGCUUGCUGUGCAUUUCCACGAUACCUAUGGACAGUCUCUUUCUAAUAUUUUAGUUUCCCUCCAAGUAAGUUCUUCUCUUGGAAUUCAAGUACAAGAUGAAAGUUUAGGUAGCCAAUCAACUGAGCUUCUAAUAUUCCCCUCUUAGUCUGGCUAUUGUUGCAGAGUUUUCAAAUGUGUAAAAGAUUUCAAGAAUGUUCAACUCAUGUUACUACUGUCUGUUGUAUUGUCCACAGAUGGGUAUUAGCACAAUAGACUCGUCGGUUGCUGGACUCGGAGGCUGUCCAUAUGCCAAAGGAGCAACUGGCAAUGUUUCAACUGAAGAUGUUGUUUAUAUGCUUAACGGUCUAGGGAUAAAAACCAACGUCGAUAUACAGAAACUCUUGCUAGCCGGAGAGUUCAUCAGCAAGUAUUUGGACCGGCCAUCCGGAUCUAAAGCAGCCAUUGCUUUGAGCAGAGUCACAGCAGAUGCAUCCAAGAUAUAGGAAAGUAAACAACUCGCGCCCAGAUGUGAUCAAAUGGUCUCACUUAAGGUGCAAAAACCAGAAGAUAGAGAUUAUAAUAUAUAUGCCACUUCUAUAGAGUAUACUUAUCAAAAUUUGAUGAAAAAUAAUGUAUUUGAGACUCUGUUGUCAAAAUGAAGAUGCCAUCUAUGACUACAUCAGGCUGCUCAUUGCAGCAUAUCUAAUACAAAGAGUAUUGAUUUAUGCUUCCCUUUUUCUUCUUCAUAUUUGUUCAACUUGUUAUCAACUUCUCACCAGGCUUUCUUUGGCGUAGACGUCAUUUUGAACUUCGUAAAAAAGGAAAAAAGAAAAGUUGCACAGUGCACUAAGCUCCCGCUAUGUGCCAAGUCCGGGGAAUGGUCAGACCAUGUUGAGUCUAUUGUACGGAACCUUACCUUGCACUUCGGUAGGAGGUUGUUUCCAUGGCUUGAAUAUGUGACCUCCUGGUCACACGUUCCAUUAUCAUCGAGAUACACAAAGAACCUUCUUAGUGUGUCUGUAUACGCACACAUUAUACAGUGUGUAUAUACAUAUACAUAAAAAAAAAAUCCAGAUUUAGCUCAAACAACCAUUCUUUAGUAAAACUUAAAAACUGAUUUUGCAAAAUCAAAAACUCCAAAUAAACGCCAAGGUAUACUUUCAAAUGAAAUUUGGACAAAAAAAAAUACAAAUGAACAUAAAAUGGAGAACGAAACUAUAUAUAUAUGUAUAUAUUCCGGUGGUGACUACCUAAUCUUCAAAGUAGCUGGCUCAUAUCUAUAUCCGUGAGGUUGUUCGUCUCCAUGGUGUGCCGGUGUCCAUUAUCUCCGAUCGAGGCACGUAGUUCACAUUGCAUUUUUAGAGAGUCAUGCAGCGUGAGUUAGGCGCACGGGUUGAGUUGACUACAACAUUUCACCACAGACGGACGGGCAGUCUGAGCGCACCAUUCAGAUCUUGGAGGAUAUGCUACGCGCAUGUGUUAUGGAUUUCGAGGGCUUCAUGGAUCAGUUCCUACCGCUUGCAGAGUUCACCUACAACAACAACGACUAAUCGAGUAUUCAGAUAGCUCCUUAUGAGGCCCUAUAUGGAGGUAGUGUCGUUCUCCAGUUGGUUGGUUUGAGUCGGGAGAGGCUAGGUUGUUAGGUACUGAUUUGGUUCGGGAUGCCUUGGAGAAAGUCAAGUUGAUUCAGGAUCAGCUUCGUACAACACAGUCUAGACACAGCUGAAUUGAAGUAAAAGUUGAAAGAAUCUCUUCUUUGCCUUGUACAAAUUAUUGGAAAAAAAAAAAAAAAAAACUUAGGUUCAUAAACUUUUUAUUCAUGUGAAGGAAUGUCGAACAAAUUUCUUUCCUUUGUUCUCCGUCAAUCAAAUGAUAAAAAAAAAUAUUGUUUAUUUCGAGCAUAUUUGUUUAUUUUCCUUUUUCUCGAACAAAGGAAGAAAAAGAAAGAAAGAAAGAAAGAAAGAAAGAACAUAAUCUUUUUUUAUUCGUCCUCAAGCUAUAAUCGUGUGAUUUAUAAGUCGCAUUUUUUGAAUGAGAUUUAUAAGUAACAUUAUUGAAUGUGAUUUAUAUUCGCUAAUGGACACGCCUCAAUUUUUUUCCAUUCUCGAUCCGCGUUUGGAUCCUUAAUCGUAUUCAUAUAAUUUUCCCCCCAAAAUUUUAGCUCUUUAUUUAUAAUUCUCUGGUAGAGAAUGACUUUAAAAAAAGAUGAGAUUUGUCCUCUACAAAGUAAUAAUUUAUUCUUCAAUGUAGCAUAACGCAUAUUUAAUGUAUUUACUAAGCGCCUACAUAAAAUUUAACUGAUUAAGCAUUAUUGAGUAAACUAGUUUAUGUUUACGUGCGUUGCACGUGUUAUUCUGCGUAAAUCAUUACAAAUUUACAUGUCAAAACAAUAAAUUUAUACGUGUAUAUAAUAUUAACAAAAAUAGGAAAAAUUAGAUAUAGUUCCUUUAAUUUAUAUCAAAGUUAUGUAACUAAUGUCAUGGAUGUAUCUUUUGUAAUUUUAAUAGAUAUGCUAUUUUAAUCACAUUAAUAUUGGCAAAUUUAUAAUUAACUUUAAAGUCUAAAAUAUGAAGUUCAAUCUAGCGUCGAUGAGUGGUUCUCCACUACUCUUAUGGAGUAUAUUGAACUUCCCUUUCGAGAAUUUGGAGAACCGAGAAGACUUGAAAUGUAGUAAUAGGUCACUCAAUUUUAAUAUAAUAAGACCUUCAAUUGGGACUCCAUAGAACAUACUUCUCCCACAAUUACAUUUUCGAUUAGGAUAAAAUUCAUGAAAUUCUCCCGCAACUCGAAUUUUCACUUUGUGGUUGUAUUCUAUUUAAUUUGUGAUUAGUUACCUUAAUUCUUCAAUUAUAUCUUAGACGUGGUCAAGCACAAAAUUUGUCCAGCAUGGAAGUAUAUAGGUCAAGUUUAGUUGAUUUCAAACACUUGUUAGAAAAGUAUUGCAAUUUUAUCCAAUCGAAAGCCAUAUAAUUAUUCGAAUUAAUUAGUUUUCAAAGGGCAUAAAAGACAGUUAAAUUUUCAGGAUAUUUUCGUCAUUUAACAUUCAACGUUUUAAUAUUCAUGCUUUUAUAAUAACAUAGAUAUAGAAAUAGAUAGACAUGGGUUGAUUCGCCUUGCGACCUACGGGUUCACGUGAACUCGGUAGCUUUUUGUCCAAAUAGUGUAAAUGUGUUCGAAAAAUUCACUAAAUAUCUAUAAAUGUUUGAAUGUAAAUCCAGUUACUAUAGAAAAUUUACUCGAAGUCAUUAUUGAAACACAUAAAUAUUAAAUUCUGAAUCCACCUCUGUAGAUAGAUUAUAUCAAACCGUUAUUAGCGAUAUAGUUUUGAUGUAAUAUGUUUAUUAAAAAUAUCUGCCAAUGUCUCGUUACAGAGCUUCAUACUUUUAUAAUAAAAUAAAAUAAAAAAGAUUUAAAGGUGUAAAAAAGCAAGAAUGCGUAUAUUUUGGAAUAUUUCUUGUUUUAUUGUGAACAUGAAAAUUUAGAGUAAAACUUAAAAGCUCUAAAAAAGGUUUACUAUUUUUCUAAUGUCAUACACGAAAAUAAUAAAAAAAUUGUUAACUAAAAUCUAAUACAAGGAAAACAAUAAAGUUCUUUAAUUAUUAAAGGUCAAAUGAUGAGUAAGAAAUUAAUGAGUUCAUAAAAAAAAUAUUCUACUAUAAAUGUUUCCUGACAUUCAUUUCGAGAUCAAAAUGUGAUUAUUAAAAAUGUGUCAUUUAUACCAAUUGUCGCUAUAUUGCAUGGAUGAACAAAUCAACAUGUAAAUAUAUUUGGUGGCUCUCCCUCUCAGUGAGAGUACUGUUGAUGAAAAUCAAAUUAGGCAUAAGAAACUGAUAAUAUCUAUGAUAAACCUUAAAAGAAGAUCAUAUGCUAAGUAGGAAACUUGAAAAAUAAACACAAAUAAAUCAACAGCAGUGAAAGAGAUAUGAAUGUCACAUACCUCGUAGUCCAUUUAAUCAGGUUAAUGUCAUCCAAAGUCCUGAAAAUUACAACAUGAAAGGAGGAAUUAGCAUAAUUCAAAGUAAUACUCUCACUGUCUCGAUUUAUAUGAUGGUGUUCAAUUGAGCAGGAGUUUAAAAAUAAUUAAAGUUUGUGUUCCUAAAUAAUAUUGUUGGUGGAUUUUAUUUUUCUAGAGGCAACCGAUAUAGAAAUUUACAAAACCUAAGUAGAUGCAUAUUCCUAGUAUUAAAGCAACAUCAAUUAAAAAGUUAAUUUCCCAAAGUUAUGAAAUAAAAACUACACAUGAAACACCAUUAGAGGCAUCAAGAAAAUAAACACAAAAUCUAAGAAUGAUAUAUCUACUAAUGCGAUAUAUCGGGUAAUACCAACAUGUAGCAUAAAUCAUAGAAAGCACUAAAACAAGACUACAUAACAUUAUAAUAUCAAUAGAGCAAAACGAUUGAGAAAACAAUAGAAUUGUAGCCUAAUGCAUUCUUUUCAUUGUUAAGGUUCUUUUAUAUAGGGUUUUUUAUUUGUUUCCUUGAUUAUGAGUAGGAGUGUUAUUGUACCGAUUUCAUAGGAAUGAGUUUUUAAAAUCUAUAUAGUAAUAAUGACGUAAGGAAAUAAUUAUUACGCCUGCUUUUAUUUGUUUCCUUGGAUUAUAAAUAGAAGUGUUAUUGUACCGAUUUCAUAGGAAUAAGUUUUAAAAUCUGAUAUAGUUAUUUUGAUGUAAGGAAAUAAUUAAGUCUUUAAAAUUAAUUGAUUUACAAUACACAUCGUAAUAAAUAAAAAAUUUAAAGAAUCCCUAAAACUAAGGGGGGAAAAGACCAAAGGAAAAAAAGUCUAUAACGAAAGAAUCCCAAUUCUAAAGAAUCCUAAACCUAAAAGCAAGCACAAGGCAAUUUUUAAUUUUGCCCCAAAAAAAAAAAUAGUGAUUACAUUACAAGUAUAUCCAACAUAAAAAAGACGAACUAAUAUUUUGAUAGGUGUUCGUACUUUUAAUAUAGCAUACAUAUAUGACUGAAUGCGACUUAUAAUAGGCAGAGGUGAAUGCAAUUUAUAAAGCGCAAAAUAGAAUGCGAUUUUAUAAAUCGCAAUAUCUGAAAUCCAACGCUUGCUUAUAAAUUCCCUUUUUCCUUUCUUUUCCUUUCCCAACGCUUGUUUCCGCUCAUCUUAAGCAAAUUUUAACAACACACUUUCUCCAGCAGUUUUUGGCAGAAGAGAGAUCAGAAAAAUGGACGAGCAAGAAUUUAGACGCCUUCUUGAGCUCUUCCCAGCCGUUCGCUCUCCCGAUUACUACGUAAAGCUCUCCCCUUUUUCCUCUCUAUAAAUGAGCAAUCUUUAAUAAAUCAUUCAUUAAAAUUGAAAAAAUGGGUUCUAAUUAAGUAUCCUUUUCACUUAAUACCCACUUGAUUAUCUUUUUUUUUGGGGGGGGGGGGGGGGUUCGUUGGGUUGUUUAGGGUUUUUUCUAAUCAAGUUCUCAAGUAGGGUGAUUAAGGUUAUUAUAUGCUGACUUGAUUCAAGUUGAUUUUGAACUUGAUUAAGGUUAUUAAGCUCCAAAUUGAUGUUUUGGGUGUUUUCAUGCUGUAGUUUUUUUAAAACUUGGAGCUUAUUAAGUAAUCUGAGUUUCCCCAUUAUCAUCAAUUUUCUGCAAGUAAAAUGUUUCCUUUUUAUUUUAUUUUUAAAUUUUGAGAUUUGCAGUGUUAGGGUUACUUUUUCUAAUCAAGACUUAGAAAUUACAAUUUUUAAAAAAUUAUGAGAAAUUAACUUAAAUAGCUGCCCGCCAAUAAAAUAGCCCAAAAAUGUAUAUAUUAUACAUAAUUAGUGUAUAAUAUAUGUAUAAUUAUUUGUAACUUCUCCUAGAAUUAUCGUGCUAAAGUUCUCAUUUUUUUGGUUGAUCCAACUUGCUUUGUGGAAUCUUGGACCAAAUUGGGAUGCUGAAUUUUUAGUCGUAGGCCUGGUGAUUUUAGCAACUCAAACAGCCUGUGAAGUUUAUGUUAAGUUUGAAUCCAAUUGUGGAGUAUAAAAGGAGCUUUUGAAGCCAUUACCUUGAUUGUUCCUUUUUUCCCCCUUGAAGCGCGAAUGAAUUAAUAGGCCAACAUUGUCUUUAUAUGCAUCUAUUUAAAAAGAAUUUAUGUUGCUCUGGAAAGAAGGCAGUAGGUGAGCUUAGAUAAGAAAUAUAGGAAUUUAUUCUCUAUAUCAACCUUCGAUAAAGCAAGAGACGUCUAUAAAAAAACUGGCUUUUCCAUUUACUGGAAGAAACGUUGUCAAACUGAAUUGCUUUUCUAGUGUAAUGUGAUUUAAAUUCAUCACUGUAAAUUAAUAUCAAUAUCCCCUGCUUGGUCUAUUACUUCACAGAAUUAACUGAUAUGGUCUAAACAAUAAAAAGCAAUUGUCCUCUUUCAGCUUCUUUCUGCCCUGAAUCUACAGUUAUACACUCAUAAGUAUUCAAAUCUCAACAAAAGUCCACUCCAUAGUCCAUACCAGCCUAAAGGCUCUAUUAGGUUGUUUGUCUUCUAUUCCCUUUGGAGUAGUAUUACAUGAUUUCAUAGCCUUUUUGUUAGGGUCCAAAAAUAGAAAAGAGUGAUGUAAACUCUGCUGUAUGGUGGGAUUUAACUCAACUUUUUUUGGAUGUAAAUGAGGAAGAUGUGAAAUGGAGGGAUGUCCAACUGUAAACUCUUAUGCUUCAAUGAAUGUGGGAUUGCUGAAAUAGAAUUCAAAUAUCUGAGAUGUGAAAGUGUGAAUUCUAGACAAGUAUAUCCCAAUACCUGUCAUGCUCCCAUCCUGAUCAUAUUGAUCUCAUCUAGUGCUAGUUUCAUUUAUUUUCCAGCUGGUUCUUUUUCUUCUUCAGUUUCCUAGUGCUUUCUUUUUAAUCGUCUUACCUGCUGACUCUCCUUUGUGUUGUGUUGUUCCCAUCAGCUUGAGUUGGAUACAUCAAGGCAAUCAACUUCCCAAUCCAAGCAGAAAGAGGAGGUAUGGCAGAAAUUUUUCCUUAUGUAAUCGUCUGAAGCUUUGCUUUCAGGUUAUGAUUAUUUCUCCUAACACCAAAAGCUUCAUCAGGUGAAGCAAUUGCUAGACGGGCAUAGUAAGGGAAGUGUAGAGUCCAGUACUCGAGCAAUGGAUCAUGGUGGUAUGUUAUGACGUUAUCAGUUGCUUUGCUCGGGUGAAAAUGACCAAAAACUAUUCUUUAUCAUGUAGUAAUAACUUUGGAAUUUUCAACCUGCAUGAGAAUACUGCUGUCUUUAGAUCGUAAAAACUAAACAACCUACUCAACUGCGUUUCUUAAGGGUGCGCUCAUUUCUCUAAAGUAUAUAUUCUUAGAGAUUGUUAGUCAUUUAAUAUCCAUCUUAAGUUACUGCGUACUGUCUUUUGUUUUCAUUUUCUUCUCUUUUCGGAGGUCCCCUCUUAAAGUUUCUGCAGCAAUCUUCUUGUUAGUAAUUUAAAUUCCAAAAACCUAUCUAAAUUUUUUGAUAUUGAAAAUAAAAUUCAAAAACUCUACUUAUUUUGAUUCUUUUCAGAGUUGAAAUUAUUUUUAAUGGUAAUGAAGUUAUUUGGCAAUAUUGAGAUUGCUCAGUUUGUAUCUCUUACACCUUUAUGGAAAGAUCUCAGUAACUGAAUCACUUUCUUGUUACAGAAGCAUUUUGGGGCAAACUAAAAGCAGCUGCUGAGAAAAAGGUGUGUCCUGUUAUAAUCGUUGUUUAUGUAAUUUUUGCGUAGAGUGAAGAUCCCUAUGCUGUACUACUAGAUAUUGUCCAGCUAUGCCUAGUAGAUUCAAAACUUUGCUUUGAAUUCAUGUCUGCAUACUAUAGGGGGGUUAUUAAUACGUCUUAUUGUUCUGAAUCUGUUAUUCCUUCAUAUAAUUGCUUGAGCAGAUGGAGUGAGUUCAUUACUACAGUGUUUCCUUAGGUCUGUACAUCCUAAUAAUUCUUUCAUUGGGCUGUUUUAAUGAUUCUUCCUAGGGAUAAAUCAUCAAAUUUUGAUAAAUAGUUCAUAUUCCAUCAAUGAUCAAAGAGGAUACAUAAACAAACUCCUAAAUCGAUACCUUCAGAUUGGGGAGGAAGUUGAAUGGUUUGUUGGUUAAGUACUAAUGCAAGUUUAACCAAAUGCCCAUUUUCGAUUAGCAUGAGGCUUCUGGAAGUAAUAGAAUUUGGUGGAAACGUUUAGGAGGACUGCUUUAAUUAGAGGCAUUAGAAGGCGAAUUAGUUCAAAUGAUCACCACCCUGGAGAUUUUUCUGACCUAGAAGACCGAAAUAAUAUAGCUAAAACUACAGCACAUUUAAUUCAAAAGUCAUUUAUGUUUUGUGCUAUGUUAGAAGGGACGAUUAGGUAGGAACAACUACUGAAAAAGCUGCUGAAUGACCAAGCAAGCAGUAUUGCUCUCGUUGAGAGUUGAACUCAAUAAUUAUAAUCCUAGUUAGACGGUUGAGAAUGUCUUGAACAAAACUUCAUCAGAUGGUUUGUGUACAAUAUUUCAUCUUACUAGCCCCCGGGGCUUUGGCUCAGUGGUAAGAGUGGUAAGACCACAACACAUGAUAUGUAGAUUAGGUGCACGUCACGAGUUCGAUUCCUGCCGAAAGCUAAAAGCCUGGUAUUCAAGAGGGGCUGACAGAUUAUCCACGGAACUUUGAACCGUACACCAGCUACCUCUCAGGAAUUUCUCGGUUAUAAAAAAGAAAAAUACAUCAUCUGUGAUAACGACUAACAAGGUGUUGGUCUGGCUUUCUACAGAUGGGUCCAGCGGAAGCGGAAACUUUUUGCAAGGCAUUUCAACAAGUUUACAGGAAACUUGUAAGUAAAUACUUCUGAAGUAACCCAAGCAGAAAAUUUUCCUGCUUUCUCUACGUAUGAUUCACUUAUAAUGUGUAUCUUCAUUUCGUUUUAGCCAAUCGCCUAAAAACUUUCUGCUGUAAGUUAUACUUUGGAAACCUUCAUGACUUUCAGGUGAAUGAAGAACUGAGUUUGGAAGCUGCUCGGAGCUUGCUGAAUUCAUGAUUUUUUUCCCUGAACUGUUGUUACUUUUAAUCACUUGAUGUUCUGGAUAUAGCUAUUGUGUAACUUAUAUUUUCUUUUUUGUUAAUGUAUUAUUACAUUGAGUUAUAUCUUCUUCUUUCUUUUAGUGAAAUUAUGUUUACUCUGUAAAGAUCUUUUAGCUUUGAUUUGCUCUUCCUAAUUGUUUUGUCACAUCUUUAUUUUAUUUUUUGGGUUAAAUGGUUGGUGACCAAUGCUAUUCUUGUUGUUUACUCACUGCCCUCUCCUCCUCCACUGCGCACGACCACUACUUUCUUCACCUCAACCUGGAGUAGUUACAAUUGAAUAUUUUUACAUGAUUAAUGUAGUUUAACAUAUUACAACUGAUUAAUUAUCUUUUUUUAUCAGAUUACUAAUCAAUAAUAGGACUGCUCUGCACUAAGCAACGAAGGGUCACUCUACAUCUUUGUUGUGGCAAAUGGCAAUGUCAGUACCACAAAAUCUUGAUGUAUCAGCAUCUUUUCCAAUGGAUCCCUCUACAAUUUGGUUGGCAGUAGCUUGGUUAAGGGAAUCCACCGGAGUCAUCGCCGAAGCGAGUCUUCAUAGGGCUAUUGCUUAUGGACCCGUACUUGGGUGAUCUUAAGUGGAGGUUUGAACCGACUGAUGUUGAAGAAUCACCGAGGGAGUCGUGGUUAGGGGUGAAAUACCACUCGAACCUAGAGUUAGUUGGUUCUUCCCGAAAUGGGUUGAGGCACAACAAUUGAUUGGACAUGUAGGGGUGAAGCAUAUUCACAUGGAACUGUUCUCACGAAAGGAGUAUUAAAUCACUAGAUAUAUACUCCAGCCUAGUAGGUCAACGAUACAGCACGAUGUAAUAAUAUACUGACAUAAGAUUCAAGUCAUAGAGAUGAGUAGAUUGAAGCUAAAUUAUUAAGAAAAACAAAAAAAAAUAUCAUUUGUCUCACUUCCUUCAAAAGAAAAAGAAAUUUAUGGUGAUCAAGAUUGUAGAUGAUAGUUACCACUAUAACCAGUAAAAUUCUCACAUUUAAAGAAAGCUAUCAUUUAAAAUGGUUGUCAUUUAAAUAAUCCCAAUCGUCAGAUCAAAAUCAAGCAAAUAAAACUCUUGAUGUUUGACUAUUAAAAAAGCAUUAUUUGCAGUGUUUCACAAAUUUAACAAUUUCAUAGUAUUUGUAUCCUAUUUUAAGAAAUGACGACUCUCAUUUUCUAGUUUCUGUUACUCUGAAAGUUUGGUCAAAUGAGCAUAAAAGUCAAUUUAGGACCACUAAUUAGAUUCUUUUUCUUUUUUGGUAUAUACAUAUAACUUUAACUAUCAAACCCAACAAGAAUUUGGACAAAGGGAGCAGUAAAACAUUCCUUAAGAAAAUUUAUUAUGUGGCACAAUUAAUAUUUAAAAAGUCAAAUAACUUUAUGUAGAAAAAUUUAUUUUUAAUAUAUGUAAUUUAGCAUAAAAGUUCUUACCCGGUUAAAAUUGUGUUAAUUUGGAAAAGUAAUAUCCCAUCUUAAAUUAUCUGUCAUAAUUUUUUAAAAUAGUUUUUCGGAUUAGUUAUCAUUUUAGAAGUUCGAAACAAAAAUAUUUUUUUUAUUUUACCUUUAAUAUUAAUUAUUUUUGAAAUAAAUAAUAUAUUUUAAGACAUAAAAAAAAAAGUUCAAAACUCAUUUUAAUUAAUAUUUUCCAAGAGGCAUACAUAUUUUCUUAACAUAAAAAUCGCAUGUGAGGAUAUGCACAUGAAACAAGAAACAAGAAUCAUGAAUCAAGAAUGAGUAUAUACCUUAGAUGACUAUGAUCUAAGGCUGGUAUUUUCUCCAGUGUCAGACAUCGUAGGACCCAUUUGUGCUAUCUUCAAGAAUGAGCUGGAUCUGACAAAUUGCAGCACAUACAAUAUGCCAAUACAAUCCUAUUAAAAAAAACAACAAGUGUAAAAAAGAAAGGAACUUUUCUGUGAUUGAGUUCAAGAUUUGAUGACCCAAUAAAGAAAAGUUGAUGAUUUUCACAUUUCCAUGAAGAAAAAAAGAAGAAGAAGAAGAAGAAAGAAAAAAGAAACAGAGGUUUUUUAAACAUGGUUUUUUCUAAAGAUAAUAUGACUGGGAUCAUUUUGGCUUUGCUUUCAAGUGUGUUUAUAGGGGCAAGCUUUAUAAUCAAGAAAAAAGGUCUUAGAAGAGCUGCUGUAGUCUCUGGUGUUAGAGCUGGUAUGUGGGGUCUCUAAUUUUCUGUUUGUUCUAUUAUGGAAGUGUGUAAAGUUUUAAUCUUUUUGGCUUUUUGUUGCUUGUUCUGUAGCAUGAAUCUUGUUUGAGUUUUCUUGGUUUUUAUUUUUGUAGGUGUUGGUGGGUAUUCAUAUCUAUUGGAGCCCCUUUGGUGGAUUGGAAUGGUCACAAGUAAGUUUUCUCCUUUUUGUUUCUGUUUUCUGCUGUCCUAAUAUCCUUAAUUACAGCAUUUUGUCUGUGUGUGUGUGUUCUUAGAAUGUUUUGAUACAGUGCUACUGCUAGAAAGGACUGGUAGAAGUGUAUAUUUAAAUAUAAUUUAUUGAAAUUUUUUUGGAAGUAAGAUUAAUAAUUGGUUAGUGUGGUCCUUUCUUCUUCUUUUUUCUUUUAUAAUUUUGUACUAAUAUUGGUCGUAGAUGAGCUUUAAUGAAGCGAUAUGGUCACUGUUGAUUCAUAUAACCGACCUUAAUUUGCUUGUGAUUGAGGCAUAGUAGUAGUUGUUAUUGUAGUUAUCUUAAUCAACCACCUAGCCUAUUGAUGUUAUUGAUAUGUUUCCUGAAUUUGUUCUAACAGAAGUAAGGUGUGUCCUAUGUCUAGUUUUUUCUUUCUUGGCCAUUGGCUGACUGUCCAUAGGAUGUUCUUGUUGUUUUGCUUCUCAUAGUGAUUGUCGGAGAGGUUGCGAAUUUUGUGGCAUAUGCAUUUGCUCCGGCAGUUCUUGUUACCCCUCUUGGUGCAUUGAGUAUCAUUGUCAGGUGUGUAAUCUUGGUGAUUCGGUAAGACUGAAGAUAUACUUUUGGUUGUUUAACUGUUUUUAUGGCCAAAAACUCUUGCAGUGCUGCACUAGCUCAGAUUGUUUUGAAGGAAAAGUUGCAUCCUCUUGGAAUUUUGGGUUGUGUGAUGUGCAUUGCUGGUUCUAUCGUGAUAGUUAUCCACGCACCACAGGAGCAUGCUAUCGCUUCUGUCAAAGAAAUAUGGUACAUGGCAACUCAGAAAGGUGAGACGCUUCUAUCUUGACCAAAUCGUCUAGUUCCUUUGCGACCAUCUACACUUUUCUAACUUCAUUUUCUUUUCAAUUCCAGCAUUUUUGCUCUAUGUAGGAUCGGUGCUUGUCUUGGUUUUCAUUCUUGUCUUCUACUUUGCUCCUCAAUGUGGACACUCGAACGUCCUUGUUUUCACUGGAAUAUGCUCAUUGAUGGGUUCUCUCUCGGUAAAACUUUAAAUUGGAUGCUCUUGCCUUGUGGUCUAUCUUCUAAAUGCUCAAUUUCUGCAAAUCUUAUUUCUGCCGGUUAAGUGAAUAACAAAAAUCUCUGUAAUUACUAGAAUUUAUGUCCCUCUAUUCUGUUUAAUAUGCAGGUUAUGAGUGUUAAAGCCCUUGGUACUUCACUAAAGUUAACUGUUGAAGGAAAGAACCAGUUGAUGUAUCCGGAAACCUGGUUUUUUAUGUUUGUUGUCGCAGUUUGCGUCGUUACACAAAUGAACUAUCUCAAUAAGGUGAGUAGCUACUAUUCUAAUUAUUUUUGUAAUGUAACACAUUUUGUCCACAAACUUCCUCUUCAAAUUGACUGCUAAUUCAUCCUUCGAGAUUCUAAGAGUGCCCUGAUAAUUUUCUGCUCACCUUGUCCUCUUUCUUUGAAUUCCUUGUUUCCUUCUUUUUGCCCCUCUCUUUUCCUAUUUAUUCAUUUAUAGAAGUAAGAACCAGGUGAGAAAGUAGAAACUAUGAUACUACGUAGAUUAGGUAAACAGUUUGGGAAAAUUGCCCUGUUUGUACUUCUCUUACUGAUAUUUAACUAAUGAAAAUAACAAUAAAAAUAAGAAAAAAACUGUCUUUUUAUAUGAUCCUUGCGUGAAGCCUGAUUCAUCAAGUUUCGGUUCAAAUUUGUUAUAUUUACAUUUACCUGGUAUUAGAUUUAGUCUCUUGAUAAUAUUUCUGAUUGCCAGAUCUUUUUUCCCCCCUUUACUUGCUAAUUUUUCAAGUCUAAAGGAGGUUCUAAGUAUGCUCCAAGUAAUGUUGUUCUCUACUUAUCGGAAUCUCCACUUCUUUGUAUAUUAAUCUCUUAUUGCUUUUCUCUUGAUCAUCUUGGAACCAAUGAAUUGGCAGCUGACGACACUACAUUCGUUUCAAUCUGGGUGAUAUUUGAGAUAAUGCAAAUCCUUUGCACUGUCAGAUAUUAUGCCCAAGGAAAGAUAGACGAUAUUUCUAAUCCGUUCAUUUUCUUUUGCCUUUUUUUCUCCCUUUGUUGUGCUUUUCCUUUUAUCGAUAAAGUAAUAGUUUGUUGAUGUUGUGGGGGAAACACCAUAUACAAGAAGUAUAUCAAAUUGUAGAGAACUACGCGAAAAUAUUAUUCUCUAUAAAACACAUCCAGCUAUACUAACAGGAACCUCAUUGGUGCUCCAACCAUUAUCUAAAUUAUAAGCCAUGUUCUAAUCUUUACAAAGCCGUAUUCCACCCCUUCAAAAUCUGUCAGUUAUUGUGCUAUUAUUUAUCAGUAUACUAUUUACUGCAUCAGAGAAGUACAAGGCAGCCUCUAAUUUUGUAUAUUGCAAGUCAUGAGAGAGAGGCUUUGUCAAGAAGUUUAUUCUUUCAGAUUAUUGAAUAGAAAAAUAUUAUAAUUUUGAGCUUUAUCUUAUUCCUUAUUUUCAAAUACCAACAUUGUCAACUUAGAACUUCCCUCAAACAAUAAAGGGCAGCCCGGUGCACGAAGCAUCCCGCAUUCAUGCAAGGUUUUAAGGUAGGCAGCCUACCCUGAUGCAAGCAUCAGUAGCUUAUUUCACGGCACGGCUCGAACCCGUGACAUAUAGGUAAUAGGUCACACGGAGACAACUUUACCAUUGCUCCAAGGGUCCCCUUCAACUUCCCUCGAACAAUGCCAAAACCAUUUCAUUGCAACUCAAAAACUUUAUAAAAGGUGCAAAAAUCUUUAACUGCAUGAUGGGUUGAUUUUCAUCAAAAUGAAUUCAUUUUAUCAUGACAGUAACUUUAUGUGUCUAGGUUUCAUUCAGUCCUUGUAGUUGAUUUUCUAGAAUAAUAGUAUAUUGACAAAGUAUAUUAACAAUGAAGCAAUGAAAGAAGUGACAGAAGAAUUUGAGGAAGGCUGAAAAAUCAGUAUCAUAUAUCUCUUGAAAAAACAGUUUCUAGAUAAAGAUUCUAAAACAUCUAAUUGAAGAGUUUUAGAUUAACUUUUAGAUACUAUUGUUUUAUGAAGGUCGUUCUCGUUGCAGAUAUCAUAUUUUUUUUAUUUUUUUUCUUUGUCAAUCUUCAGACACUACUUCAUUUUCUUGUUGGUACUGUAUGCAGCCUUUCUUGAAAUUUUAGCAUUUAUUCUUGAACUUCUUUAGGGUAUCAAUCUUAAAUAGUGUGAUAGCAUCUUCCUCUUAUUAUUCCUGAUUCCUGAUUUCUAGUGUAAACUGAUAAUCUCUUCUUUAACAUCACUUUUUGCUUUCCAUGUUUCAGGCCCUUGAUACCUUCAACACUGCCGUUGUAUCUCCUAUAUACUAUGUUAUGUUCACAACAUUGACUAUUGUUGCCAGUGUCAUCAUGUUUAAGGUAUUAGCAUCUACCUUUUUUUCUUUUGUUGCUUUGUGUUGAGCUUGCUAUAGAAUGAUGAGUACAAUUAGAGUCAAUCCGCUUCUUGGGAAUUUAUCCCAAAGUUUACGGACAGUCACAAAAUAGCAUGACUUGGAACGAAGCUAGGAAUUUCGCUAAUGGUGUUCAAGAUUUAAUAUAUAUCUAUAUUAUAUUAAUAUAUUAAGAGCACGAAGGCCCUUAACGAAAUGUCGUUCGUCUUUUUUACCCUGUAAAAAUAGAGUUCACACUAGACAAAACAGUCAUUUAUAUUAAUUUCCUAAUAUGUAGGAAUGAUCAUUUAAUUAAUUUCCUAAUAUUUAGGAAUAGUCAUUUAAUUACAACCUAAAUACUUAGGGCUUUAAUUUUAACUAAAAUUUGGUUAAUAUUGGUAAAAAGUUCUCAUAUUUAGAAAUUCAAAAGCAGUAUAUUUCUACUUACAAAUAUGGUAGUCAAUAUUUCUAAUUCCUAUUUCGAUAUUCUAAGUUUGUUAUUAAACUAAGACAGAAAAAAAAGGUUGUUAACUUAUCAAUUUCUAACUCAAAUAAGGAUAUGAUAAUAACAAAACUAUCAAUUUGUUUGACAUUGAAUGUCUUUUAUUCGUAGACAGAAUUUUAUGCAUUAAAUUCUUUCUUAUGUAUUUCUGCAAAAUUUUUCUUUUUUGAAUGAUGUAACAUAGUAAUUUAUAAAAGACAAUUAAUACCAUAAAUUAAACAAUUAACACAAAAUAAGUAAAAAGUAGUUAUUACUUAUUGUAUGUUUGAAUUACUCUUUGGCGCAUAACUAUAACCAAUUAAUUUUAUCUUAGUAAAAAAGAAAUUAGAGAAAGACAAAGUUUAAAUUACAACGGAAGUCGAUAAAGUCGACCGGCACUUCUUCGAUUUUUCUUAUUCUUAAUUCUAGAUUUAUUAUCAAAUGUAGAAUUCCCAUAAAUUUUGCAUACUUUAAUUAUCUUAGUAAAAUGAAAAAGAAAAGCCCUUUACGUGAAAAAUUAUGAUUGAUUCUCUGGUAUACAAUAGAAUAUCCAUUAUCCUUUGACCAAACAUGCCUUCUAUAAAAUUCAUGUAUCAAAAUGUAAAUAAACAUUCUAAUAAAUACGAUAAUUAGAUAUAAAUAGCCUAACUUCUACAAUUACGAUACUCUGUUACUCAACAUCAAAUUUAAUAAGUACUUUUAAAAUGACACAUUAUAAUUGCACGUGGGAUAGUCACAUAGUUGCAUAUACUCUAAAAGUACGGAAAAGGCCUCUUUUCAUUUAUGUAUGAAGUCAUAUUUCGUAGGACUUUAAAAUUCAUUAAAAGCAGUUAGAAAUGGUUACUUAAAUAUGUAGAAAGUCCUCUUUCGACCAACAUUUUCAUUUUCAUAAACUUAUAUUUUUCUAUUUAAUUUUUAUUUUAUAACUCAAAUAUAUUGGUAAAAAUGUUAAUGUAACUUUUUAAUAUAUAUACUUAUUAAUGUAGGUACAUGCGCAAAGCGCGUACCCUAAGACUAGUAUGUAUAAAAAGUAUUAUUUGAUCUAUGUACACAAUUUAUUAUUUUCCAGCAAAGGGUGUUCAACUGACCAUCCUUUGCUAAGGGUAGCUCCGCCCUUUCUUGGAAAUAACACCAACAACUGCGUCUCAAUCCUAAUCAAGUUAGGUCUGAUAUCAGUGUUGUCAAAGGCUCAUUUAAGGCGCUUCGCGUCCCUUGAGCUGUGCUUCAGUGUAGGCAAGCCACCAAAGACGUGCCCCUUAUUGCUCAUGAAUUCUAUCUUGAAUGGAGCAAUGCUAGACUACAAAUAUAAUCGGCAAAUAAGUGUAUUAGUUGUUAUGGAAAAUAAUAUGAAUGAUUGUGAGUUGUUUAUUUCAAGAAUAGGUUGUUACUUUUCUAUUGAAUUACAUAUAUAUUUUUAUUUUUUUCUAGCAUUGCGCCUUUUUUAUCUAAAGCCCACACUUAAAAUUGUGUUUUGCGCUUAAAGCCCCAAUUGACCUAGAGCGCUUUUUAGAGCUUUUCUCCUUUGACAACACUGUCUGAUAUAUGAAUCUUCACUUACCAUAGCGCUCCAUUUAAGGUCAUCUCAGAUCAAUAUUAUACAUGACUUGGAAAUAUCGACUAACAAGAACAAAAAAUUCUAUGCUGUUAGGGAUGUCAAAGACAUUUCUGCAUAUUGAUGAUGUGGAAUAUGAUUAGUUGUCCGAAACUCUGAUGUCAUACUUAUCGACCUAUUUAUACUAAAUUAUGUAGGACUGGGAUGGCCAGAAUGUUGGGAGCAUUAUAUCAGGAAUAUGUGGUUUUAUCGUUGUGCUGUCCGGAACCAUCUUGUUGCAUGUUACCAAAGAUAUGGAGAGAAGUUCAUCUUUCAGAGGUUCAUUAUUCUUCAUACUAUAAUUUUUAUGAAAAAUACUGAUAUUCUUCCCCUAAAUACUUAAUAUCAUAAAUGCUCUAGCUCUAAAAGUAAUAUCAAAAUGCAGGUACAAGUUACACACCUUUAUCCCCGACAUUAUCAACCCGACUAUGUAAUACAAAUGGGGAAUCACUUAAGCAUGAAGAAGAAAGUGGAUCGUUUUCUGAGGAAGUCGAUUCUAGACGACAGGAACUCCAGGUUUAAUAUGAACGAUUUUUUAUUAGAAAGUGAAGCAUGCAACCGUUAAUCCAUAGCAAACGUCCAAAGCUGCAGCGUGUCAAUUUCUUCUUCUAUUGCAUCUGUUUUUCUAGCAGCAAGGUAAGGAUUUCGCAGGAUCUUAAAGAAAGAGCUAUUGAAAGAUCAUCACAUGGCAGCUUUCGUUGUGCUUUCGUUGGCAGAACGAAAACUAAAGAAUUUGUUUAUAGUUAUAGCAGUUUCAAAUAUUGGUUUAGUGUACAUCCUUAAGCAUCACAGUUGUAGUCGCGGUGAAUUGCAAAAUAUCUAUAAUAACAGAGGAAUGAUGAAAGGUUGAAUAUUAGGAGUGAUUUAAUUCUUUUUUGCUUUUUCUCUUUUUCCUGUCCCUAAUUUUGCUGGAAUGUAUCUUGUAUAUGUAUAGCAUUUGUUUUGAAGUAUUGGGUGGAGUUUUUGUUUAUGUUUCAUUUUUUAAUGAACUUGAGAUCAGAUGAUGUUUGAUUGACUUCAAUAACACUGCCUUUCUUUUCAAGCGAUUUUACACUGUCAGUGUAUUAGGGUAGAAGGCUAGUAGGUAAUCGAGAGUUCCCCUUUCAUUACCUAUAGUAUUAGUAGCACUCUUGUAUUUUCAUAUUCUUCUAUAUCUAUUAUUUGCAUGUUGUUUCGUUCGCUUUGUUUAUUUUAUUUCCCUGUUGUUACUAUUUGAUGUUACUUUUUCUUCUUCGGCUUCUCCUCUUCUCCCCUUCUUCCUUGUCUUUUGUUUUCUUCUUCUUUCGUUCUUUUUCCCUUUUCACCUUUUCUUGAGUCGAGUGUCUAUUAGAAACAGCCUUUGUACCUCACCAGCUGUAAGGUUUGUGUACACUCUAUCCUCCCCAUACCUUACUUGUGGGAUUAUACUGGGUAUGUUGUUGUUGUUUACGUUGUCAGUGUAUAUAAGUUUAAAAUCCAUAGACUAAUAAGAGGUAGGGAUUCUUUACCUCUUUGACUAAUAGAUUCUCAUCUUUUAGCACUAUUCAGUAACUCAGCCUUGACUUUCAUUUAUCAUCUUGAUCUCUAUUUAAAUUCUAAUUUUUUAUCUUACUUUUUCCCAGCCACUCGAAAAGGUUAAGAUCUCUUUUAUUAAAUCCAUGUUUACGUUUUGGUAAGCGAACAUUGAGACUAAUCUAUUUUACCUAAUUACACUUUGUACAGUUUCAUUGAUCUCAUUAUCACACAAAACUACUCAAAAAUUAUCUUUAAGAAAAAGGAGCUGUAAUAUUCGUCAUAUUUUUUUGACUUCAAUUAUUUCACUUUGUGCAGUUAACCAUGAAUUUUUCUGGAAAAUGAUUUUUAUAAGAUCUUCGUGAAACUCACAACAAAAACCUUCAUGCAAGUAGAGGUGGGGAGAGGUGAUUAGGCAAGACAUGGCGCAACUUCAGCUGACCGAAUACAUGACCCUUGAUAGGAAGGUAUGGAGGUCGAGGAUUAGGGUAGUAGAGUAGGUAGUAUAGAGUGUUCUUAACAGUAGUAUCGGCACGCAGUAUCGCUUUCUGUUGGUAGUGGGUUUUAAUUGACUAACCGUUGUUUUCUUUCAUCGUUAUCACCUUACUAUCUUGUUAUCUUUAUUCUACUUUUUAUAUGGCUUUUUUGGAUUGUUCCUUCUUGUCUAUAUUUUCAGUAAUGUGGUGCUUAUGCCGAGGGUGUAUUGGAAACAGUUUAUCUAUCCUAACAAGGUAGGUGUAAGGUCUAUGUACACACUACCCUCCCUAGACCCCACAGUGUGGGAUAAUACUAGGUAUGUUGUUGUUGUUUGGGUCCUACAAACCAUAGGGAAAAUGUUAAAAUCAGACAAACGGCAAAGAAAUGGAAAAAAUGUUUGAAAACAAAAAACAUUUUAUUUAUUUAUAGGUCCUACAAACAAGAGGGAAAAUGUUAAAAGCAGACAAACGGCAAAGAGUUGGAAAAAAUGUUUGAAAGCAAAAAAAAAAAACGAUCACCGACUCUGCUGGGGAUCGAACCCAGAAUCUCUGGUUCCGUAGACCAGCGCCUUAUCCAUUGGGCCACAGAGUCUUGCAUGUUUUAUUACUUGACUUAAUAUAUUUUAUUAACCAAUACAUCGAUUACUUGAGAGUAAACACAUUUGAAGAUAAGUCAUGAUAUUCGGGAUCGGACAAAGUCUACUAUAAAAGCGGAUCCCUACUAAUAGUGAUACCUCACUUCUCGUUUUUCCCUCGAAAAAGUUGGUAGAAAUGAACAUUUUGCACCUCAUAUGUAUCAUGUUUUAACUUGAAUCCUUUUGUUUUACAAUGUUCUCCCUAAUGUAAGCAACAUUUCUUGAUUUCACAAUGUCUUUUGACUUUUUCUAAUUUGCUACCAAAUGUAUCACAGUCUAUCAGAAACAACCUUUCUAUCUUCAAGUUAACCGUAAGGUUUGCGUACACUCUAUCCUCUCUAAACCCCACUUAUGGGAUUAAUUGGGUUGUUGUUGUUAUUUGCUACCAAAUGUAUCACUACGAUUUAUUUUGCGCCUUUUGCUUUUUAAUAAACGGAAAAGGUCUAAAUAUGCCCUUGUACAGUACGAAAUUGAGCACAUUUGCCAUUCGUUAAUACUUUAGCUCAAAUACGCCCUUACCGUCACAUAGUUGGUCCAUAUAUGCCAUUAGAGUUACACAGUUGGCCCAUAUAUACCCUUUUUCGAAACGGAAUCCACCCAAACUAAUUAGCUAUUUCGUUAAUUAUAUUAAAGUGUAUUACAAACACUAUUUCCUUUUUAUUAGUACCUUUUUUUUUCUUUACCUUUCUUUUUUCUUUCUUCUUUUUUCUUUUCGUUCUCUUUUUUUUUUUCCCUUUUUCUUUCUCCCUUAUCCGAUUUCCUCCAUUACUGAUGUCUUCUCCAUUUUCGUCACCAAUUUCACUUGACAAAACUCAUGAAUUUCAAUUACUAAGAAAAUUCUCCCAUAAGAAUUUUUUUAUAGAUCAUNNNNNNNNNNNNNNNNNNNNNNNNAUUGGUUUGGUUUGGUUUGGUUUUGAUAAAAACCGAACCAACCCGUUCCAUGUAAACCCCUAAUUUUCAUAGUUAAUAAAAAAAAUAGAUCCAGUUGAAAAAAGAUGAAAAAAGAUUAACAACUUAAAUUUAUAACAUUACAACUUGAACUUUAGGCUUUUAAUCAUUAAAUUAUCUUUCUGAAAAUAAUUUAAAUAUUUUGGUCUUUUGAGUAUUGUUAAAGGUUGAGAUGCUUUUAUUAUUUUAAAGUUUAAACCAUAAUUUUUGGAACAAUUUAAUUUCGUUUAUUUAGAGGGCUAGUGAAAUUGGAACUUGAUUACCUUAUGGGAGAAUUUUCUUAGUAAUUGGAAUUCAUGAGUUUUGUCAAGUGAAAUUGGUGACGAAAAUGGAGAAGACAUAAGUAAUGGAGGAAAUCGGAUAAGGGAGAAAGAAAAAGGGGGAAAAAUGAAGAAAAGAAAAAAGAAGAAAGAAAAGAGAAAGGUAAAUAAAAAAAAGUACUAAUAAAAAGGAAAUAGUGUUUGUAAUACACUUUAAUACAAUUAACGAAAUAGCUAAUUAGUUUGAUUGGAUUCCGUUUCGAAAAGGGUAUAUAUAAGCCAACUGUGUAACUCUAAGGGCAUAUAUAGACCAACUAUGUGACGGUAAGGGCGAAUUUGAGCUAAAGUAUUAACGAAGGGCAAAUGUGCUCAAUUUCGUAUAAUACAAGGGCAUAUUUGAACCUUUGCCCUUUAAUAAAUCAUAAAAACACUUAAUUUAAAGGGACAGAAUCGACUACUAUACAUUUCAAAAGCAACAUAGCAACUACCAGAAAUUAUAGCAAAAUAACACACUUCUUUCAAUGACUUCUAGAACGAGAAUUAUGUUAAAAUGUCAGUGUUUAACGGGAUUGGUGUGACAACUGAGGCAGAACUAUAAAUUUUGAUGAAUGUCUGCUAAAGUGUGCAUUUUUCUAAGGAUUUGGAGAACCAAAAACGAUCUUUAAAAGUGCAAUUGAUUAGGAUAGAGAAAGGUGAUUAAGUAGUGAAGGAGAAGAAGAUCAACGAACGCAGGGAUGAAAAAUGAGUUGGAAAGAGAGUAGAGACAACAACAACAACAACAACAACAACAACGCAUCCAGUAAAAUCCCACAAGUGAUUUCCGAUAAAAAAUGAGUUAGAAAAAGCGAGUAGAGAGAUGAAGAUAUGUUGUUCUUGUACAAUAUUCCAUUGUACAAGAAAAAAUGAUGCUUUUCUCUAUGUAGACAAUGGCAGAUCCAACCAUGCGUUUACUAACUCGAGAAACCCAGUCCUUUCAAGUCUCCUUAUAUAUGUGUGCGUAAAAAAAAGUGUAGAUAGAGUUAGAUAUACAUUUUAGACUCAUUCUCUCAACCUGGAAUCCAUGGCGUCUAAAUUUCUGAAUCCGCUACUGUGUGUAAAUAGCCAGUUAUGAACAAGUUAAGAGUUCGGCGAAACCUUCAUGAUUUCAAUACGCAAAGAAACCCGAAUAUCAGAGGGAGAAGGGAAACCAACUCUUGUUGUAUAGAACAUUUCUGCUAGAAUUUAGACGAACAUAGACAAGUCAUCAUUAUUACAAAUAAGACCAUCAAACAAAGCUACCUACAUCCUUGCUUCAGUUGCAGCUGUCAGUGUUUCUAUAAAGAAAGAAGUAUCAAAACCUCAGAUGUAUACAUAGACCAGUGCGGGGGAGUCCGUUAUGCACGUUAGUGGUUACCGAUGGGUCAUUUCUUGCGGGAUAAAGCAGCUACAAUUCCACCAGCCAGGAUACCAACUGCAGUAACAGCAGUAGCAGCAAUGCCAAUGCCAAUAACUCCAUCUGCUAGGACAAAGCAAAAUGAGUAACCCUUAAACUCUUUCUUUAACCAGAAACAGAUUCUGAUAAAUAAUUUAAGACAUAUAUUCCGUUUGCUACCUUUUGUGAUUUUGUCUUCAAUAGUUUGUUUGAGUGUCAAAGCCUGUCUCCAAUCCGGUGCAAUCUACAGAUUCAAACAGCUACAAAUUAAGACUGUUGAAAAACAGAGGUUGAAAGAACUGAAAGACUAAUAGAACUCGAGCUUAGUUCAAGUAUGCAAUUCCUAAAUUUCAUAAAUCAAGCUGCCAAAAACUUCAGUCCAAAACAUACUUACAGAGAAAACAUCAUAGCCUGGAAACAAAUAUCUCAAGUUUUUAACGCCAAUGUGAAGAGAUAAUAUCCCAGCAAAGAUUGAAAGACAAAGAUCAAACCUCCAAACAACGCUCAACAAGCUGUCUGCUUCUUGCAUAGUCCCCACUUCUGUAGUAGCCAACAGCCAGAAGAUAAAUCUUUUCCCUCAUUUGCAGGGGACUGUUACUGCCACCCAGAGAUGCUGCAAAUGACAAAAUAAGUCAGACAUCUUCCAAAUAGCCAGGUAGGAACUAUAUUUCAAAGGAAGGAAGCUGGUUAAAAGAGAAGUUACAACAAUAAAUUGCAACGCAAAAGGAGAAGAUAGGAGGAGGGAGAGGAGUACAAAGCUAAAACGAUUAAGAGCUAGGGAAAAGACAAAUUUAUAAGCCAAAACAUGGAUUCCAGGGGGCAUGAAAAGCAAGAACAUGCCAGAGUCGAGAAUGAAAAGGGGGCAUGGAUUCCAAAGCAAGAGGAUUAAAGAUCUCACCUUCAAGCAUUGCUAUUCCACGUUGCACGUCUUCUGGCCGUUUUGAGUGAACAAGAGCCCAUGACAGACGCAUGAUGCAUUCACUUUUGAGUUCAUCAGAGGAACCUUUUUCCGCCUCAGCAACUUCAUGUUCACAACCCUGUACAGUGUACACAGAUUGCCCUCGUGAGAGACUCAGAUACUCUCAAUAUUACCUUGAUCAGGUCUCGCUAGCAAAUGCAAAUCAAUUAUAAAUUUACACGUUAUUCUCUUAAACCAAGCAAGUCUCUUUCAGCAAGAUAUACAGAGAGAGUUUUCAAACUUUCUGGAAGACGCGUUAACCAACAUCUUCCAAAUAUUUGUUGGCAAAUGAUUGCCUAAGAUGCUAUCUACUAUGCUAUCCUUCAAACAUACUCUCCCCUUUAGUCCCUGUUAUAAUUAUCAACACCAUGAAUCCCUAGAGAUGGUUGGCACCCCACAAUGAAUUUCUGCUUCGAAUGUGUAAUGAUUAUUCAAGGAAAACACACAAAAUUGACGCACGAUCAUCCAGACUCCAGAGAGCCAAGUGAGCAGACCGACCUAAACUCUUUUGUUCUGUUGUCUUGAGUGGAAUGGUUUGUGGGCAUCAGAUAUGCUUUAAGUGCCUCUGAUUUGAGUUCAGAAAUCACUUGAGAGUCAUAUCUCAUAUCUGAACUCCAAUAGUAGUUAAAAAUGGUACUGUCUUUCAACAAAGUAAGCAACACCAGUCUGAUAUACAUCAUAUAAAUAGUUUGUAGUAAAGUUGCCACGACAGCUUACUCAUUUUACCUGGAAGCUUUUCAUCUCUCGGGUGGUUGUGUUUCUCUAACAUAUAUUUCUUUCUUGCUUAAAGCUACUGAUUUAUGUUACCUUCUGGAAAUGAGAUCAAGACCUCAAAAGACAACUAUUGAAAGUAAAACAAAGAAGGACUGGGGAAGCUAAAAUUGGUAAAUCACUUGCUAAGUCAAUUAUGUUGCACUUAAAAUGUAAAUAUUCUCCAGAUCGCCGCUCUAUAUAAAUCAAACCCAUUGCAAACAUAUUCAUACUGCUCGGAAAAAAUAAAAAAAUAAAAAGCAAAGUUCAUUUUGAGCUCUUAUUUUGGAUUGAUUUGAAAACCACUUGAAAACGUGCCUUCCAAAAUCUUAAACCGAAACUUAUAAUUUUGAAAUUUCCUCUUUAUCCACAUUUCUUUGUUCAAACCAUCCCUAACCAUUUUUAUUCCCCCCACUCCCACCCCCAAAAAAACCACACGCACACACACCCGACCUUCAGCUAAAGAAUCCCUCAGCAUGCACCUAAACAGGCUACUCCAUAAUUUGCCGCAAAACCCAUCUGAGUUAGUUCUUUCCUUCUCAACUUCAAAAUAAAGAAACAACAAACAAACAAACUUCAACUAUGCCUCAGUCCCAACCAAAUUUGGAGUCAACUAUAUGAAUCCUCACUGACCAUGUUACACCAUUUAAACUUAUAUCAUCCCAAUAUUAUGCAAAUAGACAUAAAAAUUAUCAUAAGUUCUCUAUAUUUCCGAACUUAUAAAUCUCUGAAAGGCUAAAUCAUUUCGUUGAUACAAGGACCUAAAGUAAAAGUGCUAACAUCUCAAACAUAUUCUCAACUAAUAGGUAACGCUAUGCUCAAUCUUUCACUGAGUCUGCACGAAUACCUAGAGAUCAUAGGAUAAACACCAACUAUACAAAAUUUCAAAUGAAAAAAACAGAUGUAUUGAUAAAAUAGCAAUUUACUGAUAAACCCACCAAAGCUUUAUAAAUCAAAUUGCAAAAUUAUUGAUAAAUAAGGUGCUUACAGUGACAAUAUUGGAAUCACACCAAGGAAUCUGAUCUCCGCCGCUGAAGAAAUUUCCGACCGAUUCCAUGAAUUUUCCGAUCUUCGCUUCCAUGUUUCUCUAGCUUGUACGUUAUGCUGCUAGUAUUGUACGUAGUGGGGUUUAAGGAGAUGUGUGUAACCAGAGGGGGUUUUCUGAAGUAAGGAAAUACAACUUGGGAGUAUAAAGUGAAUUGCUUUUUGACUCACUUUGAUGGUUGAAAAUUAGCGUCUGCGCCCAUAGAGUUUUAAAAAUUGAACUUAGAUCCUAAACUUUCCAUUGUUCUUAAAUAGUCACUUCCUUCCUUUUUAGUUGUCAUGUUUUCCUUUUCAAUAGUCAAUUUAAACAAUCUUUCAAGGAUCAAUUUAAUAUUUAAAAAUUAUAUAAAAAGUACUACAAAUUACUAUUCUUCUCAUGUCAAUACAUUCAAAUGUUAUAUUUUUUAAAUAUUGAUCAAAGUUCACAUAGUUUGAAUUUCGAGAAACAAAAUAUGACAAUAAAUUUGGAAAGAAUGGAGUAUAAAUGUGUGUCAUGCUGGUUUUCGAUUUUUAGUUUGUUCCCAAAUGAUCCUUAGAUAUUCACUUUGGUCUUUAAGUGACCUCAAAAUGGUUGUUGCUGGAUGGGUAUUAGUCGAUUUGGCGAUUCGACAAUAUGUUUAUAAAUAUGCUAAAUCAAUAAUAAAACCAAUAAAAUAUCAGUUAUUGGAUAUCAAUUAAUCGGUUCGAUCAUAACUAUUCAAUUAUUGAUUUAUCCGAUAAGACAAGGUAAUGCCUUAAUAAUCAAGGAGAUAACAAGAUAUUAAUAUUUUUUUUAAUCAGAAGCUUUAUAAGUUUAGAAGAUGGAUAUAAGUAAUGCCUUAACCGAUCAACUAUAGAGGUUGCUGGUUUUUAACAAAUAUGGGCAUGUAAUAUUCUUUUAGCAAUGAUAUUAAAGCUUACCUAAGGUAGCUUUUACACCUAAGAAUAAAAUUAUUAUUAAUAAAGCUUAUUGGGGUAUCUUAAAUCGUUAAUUAGGUAAAAUGUUAUUUAAUUAACCAAAUAACCCGAUAUUGAUAAUUCAAUAACGUAUUUUCAAUUCGAACUAUCGUUUCCUUUAGUUGUUGCUAAGUCAAUUUCAUAUCUUUUGCUUUAUGUUUUAGACACCUACAAUAUGACAAAUCAAGAGAAGAGAAUAGUGACAAAAUUGAAGUAUUUAAUUUCUGAAUACAGUGAAUGCAUGAUUUGCAUUUACUCUGUGAAUCUAAAGAGAGUUUCAUCUAAUUCUUAUUUUAAAAAAAUUGAUUCAAAGUAUACUAAAUACAUUAAUAUUUUUUUGUGUGUACUAGAUACAUUAAUAAUUAACCUCUAAAAUCAACAUGAAGAUUAAUAAAUAUCUUAUUUUGUUGGUAUUGUCAAACAAAACCCUUUUCCUAAAAAAGAAAAACAAGCCCCCCUUCACGGUGUGCAAAAUUGAAAGCAUUUAAUUCCCAAAAAAAAAAAAGUAACUGUAAAAAUCAAUAAUUCUCUUAUUCUAUAAGUGAGAGUUUAGUAGCUUUCGGUCAACAUGUCUGUUUCACUACAAGGGUAUUUCCGAUAUUUCACACUUUAUCUGCUUUAUAGGUAUUGUACAUGUUAGCUUUAUCACAUGUACAAGCUGAUAAAUUUUCAGGGCCCACAUGAAUUUCCCAGCUUUUUUGAAAUGGCCAUUUCCCAAUCACGUGGGUCCCCCAACAGUACAUAGCAGCUUUUUUAUGAUCUCUUUUAUACCCGACCCUCUUUUGCCUUGUAUUCUCCGGUCUAUCAAAACAAUUUCCGUAUCAUUUUUUGUGCAAAUUUUUAUAUUAUUUGUAGUUAUAAAUAAUGUAUUGUCAAGUCCCAGAAUCAAAAUUCAUUUCUAUGUUCCUUGAAAAGCUUUUCAUAAUGCCUUAGUUUUUUUUGGGAAUUUAACCUUUUAAAUUUUUUACUAUCCAACCCUAUUUCUCAUAUAAAAAGGAUCAUUAAAUUUUUUACUAUCCAACCCUAUUUCUCAUAUAAAAAGGAUCACCUUGUUAACUUUUAAAUUUCAAAGUUAUUAUUCAUUCCAAUUUAAGGUCAAUUUUUGUUGGAGUAAAGAAAAUAACAGUAUACGAACCUAAUACAGUGGAGAUAAUAUAAAAUACUUAUUGUAGUAAAGAAAAUUACUUUUUCUUAAUAAUAGAUUACUAUAAAAAAUAUAACAUCAUACAAACUAGGGGUGUACAUGGACCGGGUUGGUUCGGUUUUUAUCAAAACCAAACCAAACCAACUAUAUAGGUUUGGAUUGGUUCGGGUUUGUCGGAUUUUCGGGUUUUUUAUUACUUAAAUAUUAUUUUAAUCUUACUUUGUUAAAUAUUUGGUAGGUAAAUAUAUAUUUAGUAAAAAUAUAAAAAAUUGACAAACAUAUUAUUGAUUAAAAUAUUCUUAUGGGAGAAUUCUAUUAGUAACACAUAAUAGUUUUUUUUAGGCGUCUAACAAUAAUUUUUUGUUGAUGUACACUUUCAGGUUAACCGAAUUUAGUAAUUAAACAUAAAAAUCAAUAUGAUACCUAAAUAUUAAUAAUCACUUCACAUUCGAAAAAGAUAUAAGAAUUUAAUAGAUCUUAACAUAUGAUAUGAAUAUAGAAGAAUAAGAAGAUAGACACAUUUCAGUAACACUUGAUAAGAAAGUGAUCAUACAGCCCAGUAUUUAAGGUCAAUAAAUAUGAAGCACUUCAUAUUCUAUUAAAUUUUAUAUCCCGCAAGAGAAUCCCAAAUAUAUCUAGAUAUUUUUAAAGAAAAAUCUAUAUAAAAUUUUAAACGUAUAUAUAUAAAAUAUAUAUUUAUAUGUCGGACUGGUUCGGAUUUUUUUACUCAAUACCAAAUUAAAUCAAACCAAACCUAGUCGGAUUUUUUAAUCAAUUUUGUUUGACUUUUCGGUUUGGUGCGGUUUUUCGAUUCGGUUUGUACACCCCUAAUACAAACCUAAUAUUGUAGAAGUAGCAGAAGAUAUUCAUUUCCAAAGAAGCAAAUAUUUUUUAUUCAACAAUUUGUAAUAAAAGUAAAAUGAAUUAGGCACACAUAUUGAUAUGAAGAUUAAAUUCUGAAAUGAACAAUAAGCAAGCAAAGUUCAACAGUUUAAAUACAAGUAUUAUCAAGCUACAUAAUUAUAUCUUAUGCAAUUUACUGUAAUAUUGUUGGAGGUAUUAGCUAUUUUACAAUGAUAUUAAAGAUAGAUUCUCUAAUAAAGUAGAAGAAGAUCAUAUACAUUAUGCUAAUAUUAUAAAAACGGAGCAAGUACUUACUGGAUUUUUACAUAAGAAUAAAAUAGACAAAGAAGAAUUUAAUUGGGAUCCAGAGGGUAAAAAGAUAAAAUGACAAAGUACUGCUUAGGUAACUAUCUAUAAUUAUAGGAGUAGAAUUUAAUUAUGAUAUUAAUGAAAGGGAAUUAUUACCAUACUGAAAAUAUAAAAUAAAAAUUAGAUAUUUUGAUCAUUAUACAAUGUCAUUAUCGUUCUUAUAAAGACAACGAGAAUAAUAUAAUUAUAGUUUUAUAUAGAUUUUAGUCACAUUUUAUUAUACAUCCUUUUUCCUUUGAAAAAAGUGCCUAACACAAGUUAGUUUAUGUAUAAUCUUGUAGGGUUUGAAUUUAAUUUUUUGUAAGCAUUCAAUAAUAUUUGAUUAAGGUUUAGAAAAAGUAUUUGAAAUUGAAAUUGAAAAAAGAUUGUGCAUUAUAUUUGGACAUGAACUUGACUUCAAUACUGAAAAUUUGUGACUAAAAAUCAUAUUUAUUUCGUAAUAAAAUUAUUAAUUAAUUAAAAUUGUUUAAUUUUUUUAUUUGAGGCACUAUCCUUACUAGUAAACAAAAGAAAAGGGGGAAUUUAGGAAGUAUAGCGCUAUUUAUUUAUUUUGCCGCAAUAGUAAAGUGAGUAUUAAAUUCAGAAAAUUAAUUGAAAAUACAGAGAGAGAAUACGAACGUGUAAUAAAGAAGAAAAGAACUCAAAGCAAAACAAGCAAAGCAAAACCAUAAGUCCAUAACUUCUUCCCAGUGGCCAUUUAAUUUUUUCCUUUAUUUUCACAACAAUUCUCUUACCCUUCUGAUAAUAAUUCCUUCUCUAAUACAGAUUUGUGUCAAAUUACAAUUUUAUUGAUUUUUUCUUUUGCAUAUACAAAUCUAUUUUUUCCCCAAUUUUUUCAUCUGCAUAAGAUGCACAAAAGGGUGCUUCAAUUCUUGCAUUCUCCACCUGGAAGGUAUUAAGGUUUAGUCUUUGAGGUGAUAGAGCAACGUAUAGAGGAAAUAAGGAAAACCCCAGAAAAAUUUUGGUGAAAAAUCAUGGAAGGUAUAAAAAUUUGACCUUUUUUUUCCAUUACAGAUCAAAAUUUAAUUGUAAUUGGGUGUUUUACCACUGUGUUGGAUUUUACGAUUUUGGGCGUUUUAUUGGUUUUAGAAAUAUUGAGUUCUGUGUGCAGUUUUAAGUUUUGUUCUAUGGGUAAAUUACAGUUUCUGCUUUGUUGUGAGUUUAAAGUUUUGCAAUUUUUAGUUCUGUGAUAUUGAGUUAGAUGUUCUUUUUGGUGAUAAAUCAUAAUGAAAGGUAUCAAAAUUCUACCUUCUUUGGUUACAGAUCAAAAUCAAAUGUAAUUCUGGGUGUUUUACCACUGUGUUGGAUUUUGCAAUUCCAGGUGUUAUUAGAAAUAUUGGGUUCUGUGUGCUGUUUUAAGUUGAGGUCUAUGGGUAAAUUACAGUUUCUGCAUUGUUGUGAGUUUUAAGUUUUGCAAUUUUUAGUUCUGUGAUAUUGAGCUGAUGUUCUUUUUGGUGAUAAAUCAUAAUGAAAGGUAUCAAAAUACUACCUUCUUUGGUUACAGAUCAAAAUCAAAUGUAAUUCUGGGUGUUUUACCAUUGUGUUGGAUUUUGUAAUUGUAGGUGUUUCUUGGAUUUUAGAAAUAUUGGGUUUUAUGUGCUGUUUUUAGUUGAGUUCUAUGGGUAAAUUACAGUUUCUGCAUUGUUGUGAGUUUAAAGAUUCUGAUAUUGCAGCUGAUGAGCUUUAGGUGUUCUUUUUUGAGAGAUCGAUCGUUGGAUUUUUGUACAGUGAUUAAGCCUUGAUGUUCUCUUUAGUAGAGAAUGUUGAUAUCUGAUAGUUCAUGGUGUAUAAAUAUUGUAAAUCAUGCUUCAUGGCUAAAGAAAACAAUAAAAUUAAAUAACAAUGGUAUUGAUCGGAAUAGAUAUAGAGGAUUCACAUAAUCUGAUCAGGGGUUGGGCGCAGUUGAUUGAUGAUCGAUUAAUAAAGGUUCCAGAUGAUUGGGCAAUUUGUUGAUUGAAUAUUCCUUUUUACCUUGAGAUUACGUGCAAUGUAGGUAUUUUGUGGUUUUGUGUGCCUUUUAGGGGGUGGGGAUUUGAAUGUUUUGCUGGCAUGCAGAUUACCUUAUUUGUAAUAUGAUAUUUGCAGUGUUCUGACAAAGGAGGUGUUAAUUGGUUAUGAUGAUAGGGAAUGGAUUAAAUUUGGAAUUAACUUCGAGUGGUUGAAACUUGACUCCUGAUUAAGGAAAAAAAAAGUGGUUGAAACUUGGGAUGAUGAUGGUUGAGAUUGCCUUUUUUCCCCCUUUCUAUGCUAGGUGCAUGACUAAGAUCACUGGUUAUCAAGUACGUAGUGUAUUUGAAUUGGGGAAUGCCCCUUUCCUAGUACUGGAAUUCACUUAUAAGUUAAACUCAAAAUAAAUUAUAUGGAUGUGCUAAAGUGAUAUAGCCAGAUGUGACUAGAGUCAAUUCAGAUGAGAUAGGGAGGAGUAAGUAAUGAACUACUGUUUCGUCUUUUAUACCUAUCACCUUCUGAAGUGCUCCAUUAUCACAAAAUUGUUAUACAUGAUCCCCUCCCAAAGUCCCUUCUUUUAAAUGCUUACUGGUUACUAUACCAACUUCAGUCUCUAGAUUCCUUGAGAAAAAGUUCUUUUCUUUUUUUUCUUUUUGGUUUUGGAUUCUUGAUGUUUCAUAUAAUAGUUAUGAAUUUGGUCAAUUUAUAUACGAAAGCAAAUAUUAUUUCUUUUUGAAGUAGAAUCCAUUAUUGUUGGAACAGUUAAUAGUCCUUAUUUCCUGCUUGGAUAAUAGUUAAAUUAUUAAGGCUGUCAACCUUUUGCAGAUUUAUGUGAAGUGCAUUCUGAAGACGAUAAAGGCCACCAUGAGAAAAACAAGAAAAGAAUAAUCAAGACACGUGCUCAGGUCGAAGCCCUAGAGAAACUUUAUGAGGGUAAGAGAUCGUAUUUACUAUUUUUUGUUUUGCAGUUAGCUACUACAUCAUACCUGUUGUUCCGGACAUAGCAAUAAGAGAAAGCUUAUUAAUUUUCAGAACACAAGUACCCUACAGAUGAGAUGAAAGCUGAUCUGGCAGAGACAUCGGGAUUAACAGAAAAGCAAAUUUCUGGUUGGUUUUGUCAUAGGCGGUUGAAGGACAAGAGGCUGUCAAAAGGAGAAAUAUAUGCAAAUGGAAGACAAGAUCGUUCAAGUGGCGUCAUUCAGGACCAUGGCAGUGGAUUUAGACAGGAUUCUUGUGGUAGCACCAAGCAAGCGGAUGAUAAGAGAUUUGAUCAUCGGGAAGUUGAGAGUAGAAGAUUAACUGGCCCAGAAUUCUCAACUGCAGAGGUGACAUAUGAGGUUGGCACUCAUUUUAGAGGGAAGUCUAAUCGCAUGGAUGACGCAUCUUCAAGAAGUAGCUCUUCAUUACGGAAUGAAUGUUUUUCGCAAAAUGCAGAAUCAUAUGAUAUAGCAACUUCGAGAUACAUAUCGCAGAAUUUACCUACUGACUUUAAGGGUGUAAAACCAAAGAAUGGCCCAUCUGGGUAUUUAAAAGUAAAGGGUCAGGUAGAGAAUGCUGCAAUUACUACUGUGAAGAGGCAAUUGGGGAGGCACUACCGACUGGAUGGUCCAGCCCUUGGUGUUGAAUUUGAUCCACUUCCACCUGGUGCUUUUGAAUCAGCAGUGCCAAAUCCUGUCAAUGGUGAGGUCAAAUGCUUGUUUGUUUUUUGGUGUUUUGGUUAUCCAAGUUUUACGAGCCUGUCUGGAAUUACUCUCUUUUUUUCAGCUCGUAUGCCUUAAUCUUUCAAGAAGAUGCCUCCUUUUUUCUGCUUUGCCAUGCUUAGUUCUUAUUCAGUGGGGCUGCUUACUUGUUGUCGUGUAUCAUAUUUUAUAUGAAUACACAACUUUUUGUCUUAUCAAAGUUUUAUCUUAGAAACAGGAUUAUGCUGCCAGCUAUGUUUUGCUUCAGCUUUCGUUGCGUCUUCCAUAUAUUGGGCAAUAACUGUUAAACUUAUCUUCUUCACAUCUGAGGGGAUUAAAAUUGGAACAUUUUUCAUUAUUUUAUCAACUAUGCUGAGCACUUUAUUAUACACAUGGAAUUUUGUUUGUAAAAUUAUUCUUAGGCAUUAGUCCAUGGUGUAUGAUAUUGACAUAGAUGUCAACCUUGAUUCUGUAUUUACAAUAAGAGUUUGAUGGAUUUUUCAUGCUGAAUGUCAAUCUCUUAUUAGUAUGUCCAGUAUCACCUCUAUUCUGUGUUAUAUAUAUAUAUAUAUAUAUAUAUAUAUAUAAUUCUUAAUGUUACAUUUCUUGGUUGUAUGUCUGAAAUAUGGAUUCUCUAGUUACUUAGUUUCCUGAUACAAGGCGUUGCUCACUGAUAUUGUGAUAUGAAUGUUUCACAGACCCUUGUUAUGCUACUGAACCUGUUCCAGAUUGCUCACCAGAUAUGUCCAAUGUCUACAGGCGGUCAAAUGUAAGUGGAUCUUGCCGCAUUCCUCUUAAUUAAUUUGGUAAACCUCAAUUUAAGAAUUUCAGAAACGUGAACGUUCUGCAUAUUCCGCUGUCUCUUUACAUCUUCUUGAGUUGAGGGUCUUUCGGAAACAGCCUCUCUACCCUCUCUACUCCUGGGGAGCAGGGGUAAGGUGUAAGGUAUGCGUACACACUACCCUCCCCAUACCCCACUUGUGGGAUUCCACUGGGUUGUUGUUGUUAUUGUUGUUGUUGUUGUUGUGAAUGUUCUGCAUAUUGCACAAGAAUGCUUAAUUUGUUCUGUCAACUCAAUCAAGGAUCUAAGGAAGUGCCAUAUUUAGAAGUUUGUAGCAAAACUGCACAAAUUUGUGUAUAAUUCACUGUACUUCAACUAUUGUGUGAUAUGGAAUGUUGAAACAUAUUUGAAGCUUGCGGUGGUAAAUUCUUAGAUGGUGCAUCUUUGAUGGACUAGAUUGCCCUUUUGAUUACUGGUAUGGUGGCCAAAAUUAUAGAUUAGUUAUUAUCUCACAAAAGCUUGUACAAAUUCAAUAAUAUUUUUCUUGGCUUGCAUCUUUGGCGAAUUAGAGUGCUUUAUGGUUGGAUUAUCGGCCCAAAGUUUCUAACUGACCAAAACAAAGUUCUUAAAAAGUGUGCAUCCAAUAUACACGACCUAACUAUCUCUUCUAUGCAUUUACAUCUUCUUCUUUUCUUUUCCUUUUUUGAUAAGGUAAGAUAGAUAUGUAUUUGCAUCUUCUGGAUGCUUAUUAAUGAAAUAUCUUACUUCAUCAAAAUAAAAACUUGCUCUUUAAAUAUUACUCCAUAUUUUUCUUCGUUUUUUAGAAUUUUUCUCUUCCUUUUGUCCAUGAAGAGAGGCUUGUUUCAACUGGACUAUAAGAUACCAGAUUGGAUCUUUCAUGGCAAAACUAUUUUAAAUUGACAGGGGUUACUAUCUUCAGCUAAAGAUGGUUAUAUCUGUGGUCACAGUGGCGUAGCCACAUAGAGUGAAGGGCCCUCAUCGGAAAAUUAUACUAUGCUAUAUAGAAAUUAUACUGUUAAUAUAUGUAAAAAAUAUUUUUUAUACAUAUAUAUUAAAAUUGAACCUUGUAUACCCUUCGCGAAAGUUCUGGCUUCGCCACCCUGCGGACUUAUCAAACUAAGGAUCGUUAUAGCAAUGGAAACUUUUAGCAAAGGAAUGGAAGGUUCUGGAGGCUGCUUCGGUGUUGUCGAUUUCCUUUAAACAUUAUAGUCCCAUUAUUUUUGAUAAAAAUAAUAUAAUACACUUCUAAAGUUAUUACCAGUCUAAUCACUUUGUUACAAAUAAAAUGCUUUUCUCCAAGGGAUUUACCAGUACUUGGUGUAAAGUACCAGAUUAGAUUCUCUAUAUCAUGACUAACCUUCUCCAAAUUCAGUGGAAUUACUGGCCAAGAAUAAAGAUUAGUACAUUAAUGGACUCUUUAGCAAAGUAAAGUAAGGUUUUGUAGGCUGCUUGAGUUCUAUUGAUAUUCUUUUGAAAUCAGCUCUGGUAUGAGAAUCAUGCUUUUGAAAGUUUGAAAGUGAUGGUUGCACUAAUCAAGAGAAUUCCUGAAUUCUUACAGAAAGGCUGCUUUGUGAUUACACCAGUGAUUUCGUUUGUCACUUACCUUUCUUGGGAAUCAAUAAAUAGUCUGUACUCUGAAGUAACCUCUGUCUUAGGAAUAAAAAUCACUCCUUUUUAUAUACGUAUCUUUUAAUUUUUAGGAUGGACUAAAACAGAAUUGUGCUUUACUUGUUUUUUAGGGCCACUCAUCUUUCCAAGUUACCAUAUAGAUCUUACUAUCUGAACCAAAGUCUCGUGAUAUGUGGUUUCUAUAAUUAUACAUAUUUUGUUUUUGCAUUGCCCCAUCAGGGACACAGAUCCAAUUCCAAGUCCAACUCGCAUGAUUCUGAUCUGGAUGGUUUGAGAUUCAAAAGAAAAACCAAUUCCGCUCUUCCUGAAUAUCACUUCAACCUAAAGCCUAAGCCGAAUUCCUCUGAGCAUAAUGAAUAUCCUAAGUGGAACUCGUCAUUAGACAUGUAUGAAGGCCCUGCAAGAAAAAUUGCAGCUGACAGCAGAGACAGCUGUAAGUUUAUGCUCAAACAUGGACGUGCAGAAAUUAGAGCUAGUACUGGCUCGAGCAAUGGUCUUCGAAGUCCUUAUUUUGGAAAAGUCAACGGGGAGCAAUUGAAACCUCGGUUCAGUAGCCACAGUGAAGUGAGCCUUAAGGCUGUUGAGAAGGAACAUUUUGAUUGCAAGCCUUCUGAUUAUAAGGGAAUUAACUAUCAUAAUUUUGAGGGGAAAGAGCUCCCCAAAAUAGUGGAAAAGGUAUAGUAUAGUACCAUAUUUGCUUUAUGUUACGUUGUUUUGUGGUUCAGCAAAUCCUGAUACCUAUUUCUUGAAAUAAUAUAUAGGAUCACAUCAGUGGAAAAAGGACAGCAGUUGAUGAAAACCACGAUCUAGUUCGUGUGAAGGUUCCGCGGCACAAUGAGACAAGGGUAAGCUUUAUGGUUGUUUUUGGUUAAUUCUUGCAAUUUCCUUUUGGUUUGGACAUGCUUAUGGGUUCUCUAAAUUAAAAUUUAAAGGUUGUACAUCGUCCAAUGGAUGAAGUUCCUGACCAUCAAGAGUACUUGAGGAGAGCACCUGUGGUAGAAAUUCCACUGCAGACAAAUCACCGGAUAAGGUUAGACCAACUUAAAGAACUUGAUCUUACACCACUUUGUAUGCAUGAAUUUGCAUCUGUGACUAGAUGUCAUAUUUACUCUUUGAAUGCCUUCUCUUAUUCAAUUUCGAAUUUAAAAUGGUAAUUUGAUGUACAGAAGAAUAUAUGGCUGUCCUUCUCAAAAUAUUUUUUUUCUCAAAAGGAAGAAUAUAUGGCUGUGUGUCAUGCCAUCUUAGAACUGAUUUAAGACCUUUAUUUGCUUAUCUUGGUCCAUCUCUAGAAGGUUGAUUCAUGAACAAAGUGCAGGCUAAUAUUAUCUAGUACAUGUGCAUUUAUCUUCUCGGCAGUUGCUAAGUUGUGAUGUUAUCUUAUCGAAUUUCCUACCUGCUAUGACCAAUUAUAAGAGCAAGGUGUUACGUACUAUUUUGCAAGCAAAAACCAAAGAUUUUGUAAAAUUCUUUCUGGUUAGCAAUGACUCUGUUUGUGUUUGCUAUAGGACUGCUGCAGAGAUGCGCCGUAGCUUUAGUGAAGAUGAUGAAACAGAAGAAACGAGUUCCUUUGAGGAUUAAAAGAUUUGAUAUUGACUGAAGGAAAGUAACAGGUCCAUUAGUUAGGGAUAUUUGUUGGAUUUCUGCGUCGAUAGGACUCCUUUGGAUUUGUACAGUUCAAAAGCAACUUAAAUUCGCUCGCCUGUAUUCCAUCAUGUGAAGAGAUCCUUCAGGGCUUGUAUAGUUCAAAAGAUUUGUAUCCCAUUUUGUAGCUUGAUGCUGAAAUAGGAAUACUAUGAGUAAUAUAUAUUGUCAAUUGUCAUUUUGUUUUGAAGUAAGGUACUUCCUUUAUAUAGAAGAGGAGACCAUUUCUCUAUUUGUGCGUGUCAUCCUUGAACAGAGGCCAUGCCUACUUAAUCUAUAUCGUUCCGAUCUUAUCGGAAACCUCCCUGCAGUUACUGCUACAGUAGCUUGAUGAUCCCUUGAAUUGGAUCUAAGUAAAUGCAGCACUAUCAUUUCAUUGAAGACUCUGUAUCCUCAACUUUUUUUUGGGUCAUAUUCGUAGUAGUGCUGCGGAAAUUGCCUCUUGCAAAUAUGCAGCGUAAAGUUGUAAAUUAGGAAUAUUUACAAAGCAGGAAUUAAAUUUGGGUGUAAUUGUACAAUUUGAUAUAUUUAUCUAGUCAAGUAAUUGGGUGUAAUUAAAGGGGUCAAAUUAUAUUAUUCAAUUCUCAAGUGGAUGUAUGAACUGGUGGUAGUAAUUACAAGCUAAUGUAACUCUUAAAGAAAUUAUUUUCAUUUUUCAAAUAUAUUAAGUACUGCUAUUAUUUUAAAAUUAUUUCUCUUCCAAUUCUCUUAUCCUCCCUUUUCAACCUUACAAUGUGUUGAUUAUGGUGUGUUUCCAUAUAAUUUUGUAACUUCUCAUAUUUUGCUUCUUUUUUUUCUUUUUUUCUUAGUCGUUAAACACAAUUUUGUAGUUUACUAGCUUUAUUUUCUAUCAUUAGUAUAAAUAAUUUAUAAGAAAAAUACCUUCAAAAUUCAUAACUAUUUUUUUAAUUUAAAAAUACAAUAAAUUAUAAAUUUCAUAUUGUAUUCAUAUGAGUUUGUAGAAAAAGUUAAAUUCAUAAUUGAAGAUUUUAUAAUUGUUUUAAAUCAAGACAUUAAUUAUUUGAAAGAAGUCAAGUUAAGUAAUUUAAGAUACCAAUUAUUUUUUAUGAUAUUAUUUAUUAAUUUAUAAUUAUUUAACAUAUUUUUACGGCAAAAUAUUUGUUCUAAAUACCUCUUAGUUAAUUACUUUUUUGAUAUUUAUGAUUCACAUACAUGCCAUAUCAUAAAAUUUAUCCACAUGUUAAUUUGAAUUUUUUGUAUUUAACUAUGAAAUUACACUUGUCCGAUCAAACAUAACAGUAAAAAUUACAUUAUAAUUACAUUGUGGCAAACAAACAGAUCAUUGUAAUUAUUAUAUUGUGUAAUUACCAGAGUGUGCAAUUAUUACCCUAAUAAUUGAAACGGUCAGAUAAUUACACAUGGCUUUCCAAACAGGACCCUUAGUGUAAUUUCUCACCAUUUUUAUAAUUUAAUCUAUUUUUAGAUGCUAUUAUCUCUUAAGCUGUUAAAAAUUAAAAAUCGUGGGACUUAUGCUUGCAUCAGGCAUUUAAUCUAAUCCAAGAUGGCAUCAGGCAUCUAUUCUAGGUAAUAAAAAAAAAAAAAAAAAGGACAAUAGAUUUUUUGGACUAUUUAUAAGUUAUCCGAGUAUUAUUUUUAAUACCGGAAUAACUUAUUCCAAAUUUAAUAACCAAAUAAUGUAUAAGGUGGUAUUAAAUUUUCAUCCCAACACUAUUUUUUAUUUAUCCCUCUUACCAAACGACCCCUUAUGGUCAUUUUAGUAUCUUUGCUCUAUGCUAUUCCAUUAUAUUUGGACUAAAGGCCUCCUUUCCAGGUGCUUUUGUACACGUGGAUUUUUUACUAUACCCAGACCUACCUUAUACAAUACUAAUUUUGAAGGUAUUUUUCUUAUAAAUUAUUUUUACUAAUGAUAGAAAAUAAUGCUAGUAAACUACGAAAUUGUGUUUAACGACUAAGAAAAAAAAUAUACGAGAAGUUACAAAAUUAUAUGGAAGCACACCGUAAUGAACACAUUAAACUGUUGAAAAGGGAGGAUUAAAGAAAAUGAAAGAGAAAUAGUUUAAAAAUAAUAGUACUUAAUAUAUUUGAAAAAAAGAAAAUAAUUUUUUUUAAAGUUACAUUAGCUUGUAAUUACUACCAGCAAUUCACACACCCCUUGAGAAUUGAAUAAUAUAAUUUUACCCCUUUAAUUAUACCCAAUUACUUGACUAGAUAAAUAUAUCAAAUUGUAUAAUUACAUCCAAAUUUAAUGAAUGAAUUACAAAAAAAUACACGUGACUUCACACCAUAACAAAAAAUGACCCAUGUUUUUAAGUUUUACUCGACCUAGCCCGUAUUAUACAUAUUUUGAAAGCACUAACAAAUUCAAAAUAUGUGUUCUUACAACCAUUGCUUCUAAAAGCUAUGGAGUUAAAUAUGUGUUCUCACAACCAUUGCUUUCAGUCUCUCUUCUUCUCACAUCUUCUACAUAUGCUUCAAGGGGCCGUGUAUUUUCUGCUACCCCCUCUAUGUUACCUGGCUGCAAUAUAAGAAAAUUGAAGAGUAGAAGUCCACCAUUGAAGACCAUUCAAAGCUUUGCUUUCGAAAAUAGAAUUUUUUGAGUUUGUUAAUUAUUUGGAUUGGGUGUUGUUCCAAUUGAUUGAAAAUAUUAAAAUGAGUUCAAAAUUUAAAUUUGAAGUGAUUUGGAGUAGAUUUGAGUUCAAUUUCAGAAAAGACGCAAAGAAGAAGACGAAGUUAGUCUUUUAUAUAAUUAUGUAUAAUCUUAUAUAAUAGUGUAUAUGAGUGUAUAAACACAUCUUNNNNNNNNNNNNNNNNNNNNNNUUAUACUAUUUCUAACAAAUCUAAAUAACACCCACUCUAAAUUUCUCACAAAAUCAAAUUCGAAAUUUAAAUCCACAUAUUAAACUUGUUAAAAAUCUAAUUUUUACCACCUAAAUGGAUUUGGCUUGUUGAACUAAUAUUUGAGUUACAGUUACUGAUUCGAAAAUUAACUUAAAAGUUUGAGCAAUUUUUUAAAAAAUUAAAUAGUAAUUUCGAGAACUUAUUGGAGUUGUACAUUUGAAUCUUAGUCUAUUAUUUUUGGGCUAGUUGGUUGUAAAUUGAAAUGUGAGCUAUAAAAUUGAAAAGUAAGGAAUCAGUUGUUCUUAUAUGAAAUUUUCCCAAAUUUAAUUCCUACUUUGCAAAUAUUCCUAAUUCUCUACUCCUUCACUCCAGCCUCCAAGUCUAGAGCGACCGAACCGGAGUCCACAAUCCAAACUUAAUCAGGUAGCUCUAUUCCCAUUGUUGUUUGCAAUUUUACACAUAUAUCGCAAACAUAAACUUGUAUUUGCUUCGUAGCUUUCGCUAAGUGACAUAUUCUUUGAACAAAUUAGUUAUUAUCAUUGGAUAAAUUUGAUUUAUCGAUGUGCUUUUGUUUCAGCAGAAUUUCACAGAAAUUGCAAGCAAAAUGAAAACUUAGGUUAGGCAGUAAUGUUUUGAUUUUUCAUUUUAGGCCGGAUGACCUGUUGAUUUAACCGAUAACCGACCGAUAACCGCUAAACCGAUACCGAACCAACCGAACAACAUACCCAGUUUAUUCCCACAAGUGGGGAGGGUAGUAUGUAGUCAGUCCUUACCCCUACCUUGUGAAGCAGUUGGCUAGUGGAGUAGUAUCAAUCGAACCAUUAAGCGCAAAUAUCCAACCGAUCUUCCCUAUAAGCAGCCCUAGUAGAAAGCACAAGUUGAAUUCUAGUUAUGAAUUAGGUAACAAGUUAAAUAUGUUCACAAAUAUUUAACUUUCGUUAACUUUAAGGAUCAAAACCAGACUUUUGAACUAAUUAAAGGUUAUAAGUGCUUAGUCAAAUAAAUUAGCGACCAAAAUUGAAAUUAAACAAUAACACAAGGAUUAAAAUUGCUAUUUCCCCGAUUUAAAUCUGCCUUCUAGGUGGUUUUGGAUUUGUUCUAAUGAUUUGUUUGGUUUGUCAUAGAUAGAAUAUGAUGUACUGGAAAGUGCAGCUGAUGACACAAUCAUAUUUCUCUAUGAUAUGGAUGAUAUUCUCUGGAUUUAUCCAAAAUUGUUAAAUCUCUUAUGUAGUGGGUAAAAAAUUCAUACCCCUUAUUGGAAUGUAACUUGAAUUAAUUUUUAACCAAAACUCUAAUAACUGUGAACUAUUUUGGUGUCUAUAUAUGUGUUUAUUUUAUGCUUAAUUUGUUAGACUAGAACUUUAAGACCAUGUUUUUUUUUUAAAUCUGAUCUUAUUCAAAUGUUAUUCAUUUUGUCACAUGCCUAUUCGAACAGAUAAACAAAUGAUUAUAUGUAAUGCAUGAGAAUGUCAGUGAAAUCAUACAGCAUAUCCACUUAACAAUUUUUGCUCCAAGUCUUCGUCAAGAUAAACAAGGCAGAUUCUAUCAUAAGUCGUUCCCGCCAAGAAAAAAUGUGCAGCACCAAUAAAUCCAUGAGAAAUUAGCUGCAAAUCUGUAUGCUAUUCCAAGUCUUUUUUAGGUUAGCAUACAAGUCAAUCUUAAGUAGUGUAAUAUUUUCAUCACGUAGUUUUCUGUGCACUAGUGCUAAUUAUAAUAUACUCGUAGGAUAGGAGAUUUGUUUUGCUCUGGGUAUUGAUAUUGUAUCCAAAUCUAAUGCAUUUUGUAAAUGAGAUCUGUCCUAAAAGGCUAAAACUAGAGUCAUCAGAGCUUGAAGCUAUUUUUAUUUACUGGUUUGGUAAGCCAAAAUGACUCCUAAUCUUUUGUUUUUAUCAACCCGUGGCAGGUUCACUCUAAUGGUUUCUGCGGAGCUAGUGGCGCUGAGUGCAUAAUAUCAGAACAAUUCGUUCCUUUAAGCAGUCCUGAUGAGUAAAGUAAGUUUUGUUUGACAUAUCGACAAUGAAUUUCAUAACCAUUUUGCGGCAACAGAGGAUCAUUAGUGCAAUUCAUCCAACAGUUGUUAUAUCUUUGUACAAACAAAGUAUUGAUUCAUGUCACAGUUUUUGCUCAAAAGUAUCCGAUGCAAAUGAGAACUCAAAAUCAAAAAGAGAAGAAAGGUUGGUAGAUCAGGGAAUGUUGGCAACAAGGAACAGCUUAAGUCAAAGAAUUGAAAGUGUACCCAAAGGAGAGUACAUCGGAUCCGCUUUCCAAAGCUGGAUGGGUGAUGGUCUACCUAUUCAUAGAGGUGAUAUUUUCCAUACUAUCAAUCGUUUGCGCAAGCUCAAAUUCAUCAAGCGCGGUCUUGAGGUUCUUUUACUCUGCCCCCUCUUGCCAAAUCUGAACACGGGCAUUUUACCUAUUAUGAAUUACGUGAAAUAUUCAACCUACUGAGAAAAUCACUACAGUGCACUUACUCGAUGUGCUUGUUUGAGAAAUCUAAGUCUAAGGGGUAAUAGUAGUGAUGUUAUUACGGAAAGAGGAAAACUUUGUCUUGCACAGUUCUGUCACAUGUUUCAGGUAAGCUGCUGCAGAGUGGUGUGUUCCAUAGUGAGCUACCCUGGCAUUUUCAUGACUGAAUUUGCUCUAUACUGUUGUUGAGCUCAUUCUCAAGUCUUACUUAUCAUAAUGUCAAAUCAAGCUCGUUUGUAGUUGCUAUUGACAAUCUUUGAGGUUCUUAAUCUGACUGUAUUCACUUGCAUUUGAUUGUUAGAUUCAGUUAUUAAUUAAAUAAAUAGAAUUUGAUGCUAACAAUUAAAAAAAAGGAUACAAUUUGGUGCUCAGUUGGAACUUCAAACGAAAUCAUAUUGAUAUUGAGCGGUAUGCUUAAUCUUCUGCGGUUUACUUUUCUCAGGUGAUGGAAUGGGUUAUAAGGGAGAGACCUUACAGACCAAAGGAACUAGAUUACUCAUAUUUACUAGAAUUCACUUCUAAGCUUCAUGGGAUAUCACAAGCUGAAAGCCUUUUCUCACGAAUACCAUCUGAGUUCCAAAAUGAGUUGCUCUACAACAAUCUUAUACUUGGGUGCUUGAACAGAGGCCUAAUAAGGCUUUCACUAGCAUAUAUGAAGAAAAUGAGAGAGCUGGGUCAUCCCAUAUCUUAUUUGGUGUUCAACCAUCUCAUUAUUCUCCACUCCUCCCCAAGCCGCAAGAAGUCCAUACCUAAAAUCCUGACGCAGAUGAAAGCCGAUAAGGUCAUUCCACAUGCCUCGACCUUUAAUAUUCUGCUCAAGAUAGAAGCAAAUGAACACAAUAUUGAACGCCUGUUAAAAGUAUUCGGUGACAUGAAUAGAGCAAAAGUUGAACCGAAUGAGGUAUCAUACUGCAUAUUGGCCACUGCACAUGCUGUGGCUAGGUUAUAUACAGUUUGUGAGACCUAUGUUGAAGCUCUUGAGAAGUCUGCAACUGGACGAAACUGGUCUACAUUGGACAUUCUUAUCAUACUUUAUGGGUAUUUGGGGAAGCGGAAUGAUUUGGAGAGGAUAUGGGGCAUCAUUAUGGAGCUGUCCCAUGUCAGGUCUAAGAGUUAUGUCCUGGCGAUCGAAGCAUUUGGUAGGAUCGGAGAUAUCUGUCGUGCUGAAGAGCUAUGGUCCGAAAUGAAAUCAAGGAAUUCUUUGAAGUCAAACGAGCAGUUCAAUUCUUUGAUAGCUGUAUACUGCAGACAUGGACUUAUCACCAAAGCCACUGCAUUGUAUAAGGAGAUGGAGAAAAGUGGGUGCAAGCCAAAUGCCAUUACUUAUCGGCAUCUUGCUCUUGGUUGCUUGACAGCGGGGUUAAUUAAGGAGGCUAUUAAAACUCUUCAACUGGGGAUGGAUAUGACAGCAAGCAUAAAGGUCAAAAGAUCAACUCCAUGGUUGGAGACUACUCUUUCAAUAAUCGAAAUAUUUGCAGAUAAUGGUGACGUAGAGAAUGCUGAAAAGGUGUUUAAAGAACUGAAGAAAGCAAAUUAUACUAGGUAUACCUUUGUGUACAAUACGUUAAUUAAGGCGUAUGUUAAGGGGAAGGUAUAUGAUCCAAAUCUACUUAAAAGAAUGAUUCUUGGAGGGGCGAGGCCAGAUUCUGAAACCUAUAGCCUUUUAAAAGUUGUUGACCAAUUUCGGAUGUGAUUAUAUUAGAAUUAUUUUAUAUGCUUUUAUACUGGUGGUUCAAGAACUCAGCUAAGAGUAAGCCUAUUUUUCCAUUUGCUGAAGAUAACCAUACUUAACGUGCCCCUUUUGUUCGAGUCUUGGAGAGAUGGUGGCAGGUUAGACAAGUUACACUAUAUUACAUAGAUACUUGGAGAGAUGGUUGUACAUCGUCCUAUGGAUGAAGUUCCUGAGCAUCAAGAGUACUUGAGGAGAGCACCUAUGAUAGGAAUGCCACUGCAGACAAAUCAUCGGAUAAGGUUAGACCAACUUAAAGAACUUGAUCUUACACCACUUAGUAUGCAUGAAUCUGCAUAUGUAUUUUUAACAUGUUUAUUUAAUAGGAUUUUUGGAAUAUAACUCCAUUGUGAGAUGAUCAUGUUAUUAGAUGUCAUAAUUUGCCCUUUGAAUGCAUUCUCUUAUCCAAUUUCAAAUAUAAAAUGGCAAUUUGAAGUACAGAAGAAUAAUGGCUGUGUCUCAUGCCAUCUUUUAACUGAUUUAAGACCUUUAUUUGCUUAUCUCGGUCCGUCUCUAGAAGUUUGAUUCAUUAACAAAGUGCAGGCUAAUCUUUUUGUAGUACCAUGUGCAUUUAUCUUCUUGGUAGUUACUAUGUUGUGAUGUUAUCUUACUGAGACUUUCUACCUGCUAUGACCAAUUAUAAAAGCAAGAUGUUAUGUACUAUUUUGCAAGAAAAAACUAAAGAUUUUAAAAAUUCCAUGGUUAGCGUCGUCUUAUUAAGCAGUCAUAAUGUUUUUUUUUUUGCAAGCAAAACCAAAGAUUUUGAAAAAUUCUUUAUGUUAGCAAUUACUCCGUUUGUAUUUGCUAUAUAUAGGACUGCUGCUGAGAUGCUGCGUAGCUUUAGUAAAGAUGAAGAAACAAGUUCUUUUGAGAGUUAAAAGAUUUGCUUUUGACAGAAGAAAAAUAGCAGGUCCAUUAGUUUUUAAGAUAUUUGUUGGAUCUCAGUGUCGAUGGUACUCUUUCUGAUUCGUACAGUUCAAAGCAACUUGAAUUCACUCGUCUUUACUCCAGCAUUUGAAGAGAUUCUUCAGGACUUGUAUAGUUCAAAAUAUUUGUAUCCAAUUUUGUAGCUUGAUGCUGAAAUAGGAAUACUGUGCGUAAUCUUUAUUGUCAUUCAGCUUAAAGUAAGGUACUUCCACUGUACAAAAGAGGAGACCAUCUCUCUAUUUGUGUCAUCCUUGCGCAGGGGCAAGCUUAUCUACUAUGUAUCGUUCCAGUUUUAUCAGAUGUUUCGGAAAGACUUAUGCAAAAGAGGAGGGUUUACCAAAAUAAACCUCCCUUGCUGCUGCAAUAGCUUGAUGAUCUCUUCAAUUGAAUCUAAGUAAAUGCAUCACUCUCAUUUCAGUGAAGACUGUGCCCUCUGAAGGGCAGAUGUGGAUAUGAACCAAUAAACAAUAGCAACAUGGCAAUUUUAAAUAGGAAUUUGUUUCUCUUCAUAGAAUCUAAAUCCUAUUUGUAUGAUUGAUUGUUAAAAGUCUUUUUAUAUUCAUAGUAGUGUGUAUGUUUGGAUAUAGUAGGAAUUCUGUGUAUAAAAGCACCAGGGAGGCCCUGGGCCCUAGUCCAAAUAUAAUAGCUUACAGGAGUUGCAAGAGUGAAGAUACUAAAGUGAUAUGACAUUUCUGGUCACCUUUUCUCUUUUUUAGGACUCUCAAUUACAGAGGUAUGAUAAUAGAAAAUUAAUGACAGUAUAAGUUGUCAGAAGCUAAGUGGCAAAACUAGUUAUUGCCUGUGUUGGCACUGAAUCCAAAAAAUGUGUUGUUGUUUUUAAGAUUUUUCUUACCUAGACUUGAUGCCUGAUGCCAUCUAGCAAGGUUAAGUUACUAUUGCCAGAUCCAUAAUUUUAUAUAUUUAUAAGGCCUUUGAAUGUUUGACAGCAAUUAGAACAAAGACAAGAUGAAACUUAUUCACUCGAAAUGAUUUUUUUUUAGUAAGUUAAUCACUUCGCUUCUUAUAAUUGGCUAUUGUGUUUUAAAAAGUUAAAGUGUAAGGUGAGACGUUUUACUUAUCCUUAUUGCAAAAUGAAGUAUGAGUCUCAUGGGUUACAUAAAUCCUAAUAUGUCACAAUUUUUAACUUUUAUGCUGAAUGACUUUACAAACCCCUAAAUUUUUCCAGAUGGUUAUUAAUUUGCGAGUUUUCCAUUUAAGCACUUUUACUUGAAGAGGUAACCGUCAAAAAACCCACUGAGCGUGUCUUUUUUUGAUAGCUAUGUUUAGACAAUGAAUAUCUCUCAAGAAUAAAUAACUUAUUUCUUCAUACACCGGGCUUCUUGCAUCACGGGUUCAAGUCAUAGAAUUAUAUGUUCGAGUUGUGGAAUCAGUCAUUAAUGCUUGUAUCAGGGUAAACUACCUACAUUACACCUCUUGGGGUGCAUCCCUUCCUCCGACCCACGUGAACACGUAAUACUUCGUGCAUCAAAUUGCUAUUUAUCAAGGAUCGUCACAUGACAAAGCGUGUCUCUUUUUGAUAGCUAUAUUUAGACAAUAAAUAUCUCUCAAGAAUAAAUAAUUUCUUCCGCCGUUCACCGGGCUACCUACAUCAAGGGUUGGAGCCGUGGAGUUACGGGUUCUAAUUGUGAAAUUAGCCACUGAUACUUGUAUCAAGAUAGACUGGUUACAUUAUAUUCUUAGGAUAUGACCCUUCCUCGAACCCGCAUGAACACAAAGUGGAGAGUACUUUGCUUGAAGAUCUUUUCAUCUUUGCAUGUGGCAAAUGGUUGUUGACUUUAUAAUUGAUGAGCACAUUACCCAAACAUAAUUUUGUAAAAAGGAACUAGGGGACCAUUUUAAUUUGCAUAAUUCUCCCUUGUGGAUCCUUCUAUCUUUUCCUUUUUUUCUAAAAAAAAGUGCAUAAAACUUAUGGUGAUAGUUAUUGUCAAUGUGUUGGAAAGACAAGUGUUCUUGUCAAGGGUAUUUUUGGUACAUCUCCAUUAUAUUUCUGACUUGUUUAUUUAAUUUAAUAAUUUUUUUUUGGUCCACAUUUUUAUAGAUUUGGAAAAAGUUUUAGUAAGAAAUAUAUUGGAAGAAUUGUAAUGUUUUAGGUAUAAUUCUAUUUGAAGAUAGGGUUGUCUGUAAAUGUAAAACUAUACUCCUAAUACUUUUUAAGUUAAUUUGAAAUUUGAAACUAGAUAAAAGAAUUAUUUUUCUGUGAAGUCUAAUACACUUUGUGUUUAAUCUUCUCUCCCUCAUGUGACAGACUAAUUUAAAUAAGUCAAUUGACGCUACUGAUUAUUUAUCUUUUCAAAUAUUCUAUAAUUUUUUCUUCAAAAUAUUAACUCUAAUCCCAUUAGUGUUUAUCAAAAUAUUAAUUUUUACAUUAUAGAAGCUAAACUCUUUCAAAUAAGCGUGGAGUGACCUCUCAAGAAUUAAUCUUUCUAAUUAACCUAAAACAUUUAUGAACCCUAAUAAAUGGUCCAGUAUUUUUAUUUUUAUUUUUUGUGAUAAAUGCUGCAAUUUUUAUGGUUAUUAAAAUUUUUAAGUGUUUGUAACGGCUAACAAUAUGAUAUCUUUUUUAAAACCAUCAAGGUGACAGGUAGCUUGGAUUUUAUUAAUUAAACAAGAAAAAUGAAAAUUAAACUUAUAAUAUAAAGAAAUAAUCUAUGAGUAACUUUGAAUUUAUAAAUUAUCUGUAGUUAAUAAUUAACUACUAAGGAUUAUGGUUGGUUGAAUAGGAUCCCUCGCUCAAACUGAAAAAAUUUCAGUUGGAACGUUUUUCCCCUUUGAUAGAAUACGUAGCGCAACCCCGAAUUAGUCGAGACAUCAAAACAAAUAUUCGAAAAUUUUGAUUAUGUAUAGGAGAAUCAGAAUGUUUUUUCAACUUUGGAAUUUUGGAAUGGAAUUUUUCUCUUGGAGAGAAUUUGGACAGAAUUCGAACCAUAUGCUUUGAAUGUAGGAAAUGAAAGGAAAAAGGAAGAGAUGUAUAAAAGGUGAAAAUAUGAGUGAAAAUGGGGGAAAGAAUUAUUGGACUCAUGAAUCAUGACAAUAUUACUUUUGAUUUGGGAGUCAAAUUUUUGUUCAAUAUAAUCUUUUAAUAUUUAAAAAUAUAUCUUUACGAGAAAAAGAUGAUUUUAUCAAAAGAAUGAUUUGUAAUGCUAUUUAUGUGAUUUCUAAAUAUAGAUUUAAAAUAUGUUUAGAGAUUUCAUUAGUAUCACAAGUUCACAACUUCCACUCUUACUUACCAUGGUGAACUACAAAUCAAAGAAUAUUAAAUUAAAAAAAUUAUCUUAUUUUUUCAUUUUUUUUUACUUUUCAUAUGUAUUUCCUUUCUUCCUUUCCAAAUACAAAAUAGGAUCACAAUAUACUUAUAAUUUUACUUACCAUAUUUCUGGUAAGAUGAUAAAUAUCUCCCUCUCCGUAAUUUGAGCUUUCGAGUUUAAAUGCAAUAUUCUUUUGGAGGAAGUGUCUUAAUCUCAAAUGAAAUUUCCUUGACAUAAAUUCGAAUACGCUUAAACUUCAAAAGAAAAAAAGAAGAAGAAGAAAUUACUUAAAAUAAAGAAUAAUUAAUAAGAAAUGAGUCAAAUGUAACAAUUACAAUCUAGUACUUAUAUGAUUUUUCUUUUUAAGAAAUGUACACUUUUGACUCAAUACUGAAGAUAUGCAAAACGUAUAUGUGAAUUGCUAUUUAAAGAAAUACUGAAGAUAUGUAAAACGUAUAUGUGAAUUGCGAUUUAAGAAUAAAGCAUACGAAAAACAGACCGAAGUAGUUAAUUCUUACAAACCAUAUGAUGUGUCAAAUGAACUUUUUUAUUCUAUACCUCACACAACUAAUAUAAAUUGUGUGAGGUUAUGGUGCUUUUUCAAAAAUAAAUAACUUGUAUUUCUUUGUCAUGUUGUGAUUAUGUUUUCUUUGAGCCUAGAGUCUUUCAAAAAUAAUUUUUCUGUCUUCACAAGGUAGAGAUAUUUUAUCCUUCGGGACGACCCAAUUGGUAUGGAGGGAGUUAUUCAUAGUGAUGACCUGUGAUCGAUCCAUUCUCAAUGACUUCUGGGUCUGAGUCUGUUGCACAGAGCUUGCCUAGUGUAAUUUAUAUCCCCUGUGUGAUUUGCAGGCUAUUACACAGUGGGAGAUUUACCCAGUGCGCACAGAGUGCUCACCCGAAGGGUAGAGGUUGUGGCAGAGGCUGUAGCGGCAACGAGUUUUCCUGGGGUUCCAAAGAAAAAAAGGUAGGGAUAUUUGCAUACACGCUAUCUUUCUCAGACCCCACUUGUGAGAUUGCAUCGGAUAUAUUAUUAUUAUUGUUGUUGUAAAAAUAAAUAACUGGAGAAGGCAAGAGAAGUGGAAGGACUAUGAGGCAGGGCCCACAAAAAUCCAGAUGUCAAAGGUACAAUGGCCUUACACAACCAAGGUUAGUUAUGUAAUACAUAGAAUAAAUUCAGAUAAACAGAUCGCCUACGGUUCCAGCGACCUACAAGUUUCAUUUAAAAAACAACAACUUUUAAUUAAUAGGAGUAACUGCUAUUUCCUCAAUUUAAAGAAAGUAAAAUUAAUAUUAAUAUUAUAUUCCAUUCUCCUCAGUCCACCUUUCUUCUCUCUCUCUCUCUCUCUCUCUCUCUCAUCAGUCAUCUUCUGUAGCACUUUUGUGUGUGCGUGUUUUUGCUGCUUCUCUGCACCCAUUGCCCAAAACAAAAACAAAAAAUCAGAUCAAACCUUAGAUUCUGUUGCUUCACUUUUAUCAGCUGAUCUCUCUCUCUCUCUCAAAUUCACAAGCAGUGACGUUUAUUUUCUUACUAUAAAACUCUCAUUUUCAAUCGUUUUCACAGUUUCAGCUUUCUGGGUCUUGCUAAUUUUAGCUAUUUUUUAAUACCCACUUCAGUUCUUGAAUUUUUACUUCACACCCAAAAAAAGUUUCACUCUUUUUUUUUUUAGUAGUUGCAAAUUGCAAUUUUUGGGGGGCUAUAUAGGAUCAUUGUAAUCAGUAAUUUUUCACUUUUUUUUUUCUAGGGCAUUUGGUGAAUUUUGAAUAGAACUUGUAUUCAAUGUGAUUGGAAUUGAAAAUUUUAUUUUAAAUGAAUGCGAGGGGUUUAGAGAUUUUAGGGCUAGUUUUGGAAGUGGCAGAUUUUGGUGUCAAUUGAUAGAAUGAAUUCAGAUGCCAACAGAGCUAGUGGACAAGUUGAAAGGGAUAUUGAGCAGGUACAAAUUUAAUAUACUGUAUUUUUUUAAAUUUUUUUAAAUUUUUAUAUACUGUAGUAAACCUGCACUUUUUAAUAUUGUUUAAACAAUUAAAGUUUUAUUGAGUAUUACGGUUUUUGUUAAUUGUGUAUUUUAUUACUGAUAAGCUGAGUCCAACUAGAAGGAAUCCUAGAAUUACGUCUGUUUUUUGGUUUUGAUUGAGGCGUAGUUGAUUGAAUUGUAUAGAUACUGAAGUUUGUUGAGUAUUGUUGCUUUUGCCGAUUCUAUUUUUUUUAGAUAAGCUGACCCUAACUAGUUUGAGAUAGAGGCGUUAGGCGCAGUCAAUUCAAUUGUAUUUUGUUACUAUAAGCUAAGGCCAGCUAGUUUGGGAUUGAGGCAUAGCUGAUUGAAUUAUAUUUUAUUAUUGAUUAGCUGACCAGCUGGUUUAAGAUUGAGGAGUAGUUGAUUGAAAUGUAUUUAGUUAUUGAAAAGUCGGCUCCAACUAGUUUGGAAUGGAAGCGCAGUUGAUUGAAUUGUAUUUGGUUAUUGAUAAGAAUCCUUAUUAGUUCGGGAUAGAAGCAUAGUUUGAUUUUAUUGUAUUUCAUUAUCGGUAAUCUCUGGAAACUUGUCGAAUGCCCUAUUAUUUUUAAUAUAUGUGACUACUUCUUUUUUUACUUAUGAGAAUGCGGCAAUACUUUCUCCACUUCUCAUUUUCUUUUUUCGUGGUUUCGUAAUUUAGUGUUAAAAAUAUUUGUUGGCAUUCUGUGGUGAGAAUUCGUAAUCAACUUCCUCUUUAUGGUGUUAUGCAAGAUGAAUCGUAAAAGAAAGCAUGUUUAAUUGAGACACAAUAAUUUUAUAAUCAUUUUAUACAUAGAAUAGAAAUGGCAAGUAAGGUAAUAAUACUAGGAUAUCAUGUUUUAGAAAGAAUUAGCAAUUGGCAUGUCAUAAGAUUGUGUGAAUAUUGUUGCUGCUGUUGAAGUGCCAAGUAAUAUAAAGCGUUGAUUUUGGUAGCAAGAGCAAUGAAGUCCAAUUUAAGUAAUUUCAGUUACCACCUAAAUAUAACUACUUCUGAAAAUUGGGCUAUUAGUGUUGCUCGUUCAUUGUUUAUUUAUUAGGUUCAAAAUCUCUCGACUUUUUAAACUUCUUUUCAGCUUCUAUUUCUUCUUAUGAUUUACAUCAGGCGAUAACUGCUCUAAAGAAGGGUGCAUACUUACUCAAGUAUGGAAGAAGGGGGAAGCCAAAGUUUUGUCCCUUUCGGUUGUCAAACGUAAGUAUCAGUUCAUGUUUCUUUAUCCUGUGUAAAUUACUUUGUAUUCUUACCCCAAUUUUUUCUUUGUCAUCUAUGAAUAUUCUCGUAAGAUAUCAUUUGUACUAGUCAAAAUAAAAAUAAAAAAUAUUUCUGUCUUUAUUGUUGAGUGUAGCAUGAGGUUAAGAUGCAAUUUACUCUUUUUUUCCCAAUCAUGUAGUUUAAUAUCUAUGCUGGUCUUUGCUUUUGUCAAUUAUGCUACAAAACCGUGAUAUUCGACGCUUGACGUGUAACUCCUUUAUUCUAUAAUUUAUGGGGUAAGAAUAAGAACUUCUAGAGUCUAUCAAGCAGCAGCUAGUAGUCUACCGGGUUCAUUUUUUGAUUGCCUUAAAAAAUCAAAUAAAUUAAUCUGUCUGGUUCUGCAGGAGAUGUUUGAUAUUUGCCUAAUUUUUGAGUUAAGGUGCUUGACGUGACCCUUGUUUGUAUAAUGCCCCAGUGUAAAAUUGGAUUAAGGAAGGGCAAGAGAAGGGGUUUAGUAUCGUGUAAUAGUAUAAGCAGUAAUAGAGAGAAUAUUCCUAUAAAAGGGGUUAGCAAACUAUGCAUUUCCUAUUGUAAUUUCCCUCUACAUUCUCCGGUUGAUUUUACAGCUGCUCUGAAGUUUGUGGAAUCUUCAGUUUUGUGUCUUACUGUACAUCGGUUAUCCAAAAUGUGUGUUGCAGCCUAUCUACUUGAGAAACCCUUUUCUGAUCCGAAUUACCUAAUGUUCACUUCACACAUGCUUACUGUAUCAGUUCCUUUGCCUUUCUAUUUAGAAUUAAUGUACGUGCGUGUGUGGUGUGUCCAUCUGAGUUUUGUAUUUAAGAUAGGAGGAUCAUCAUUCAAACGAUAGCAAUACUACAUGACAUAAGGAAAAUGUGCUUUAUCAAGCAUGAAAAGUAAGCAUCAGUUAGUCCAGGCUCCUUAAUCUUUCUGCUACUAUGAAAGCAAUACGUGAUAUCUGAACUGCCUCACACCAAAGAGAAGCAAAAGUAGCAUUUAAUCUAUGCAGAAUAAUAUUUAAAGUUGAGUUACAAGCGAAAUGCAGCAAAAGUUGGUAAUCGUAUUGUCUUCCGAAGUCCUAUCCUGUCAUGUUAUCCAACACCAAAACUUAGAAAUCAUUCAUUUAUGCUGAAACAAAAUGGAUAAUUUCCAUAAACACAUACACCUAGAGUGGUUCUUUAUUCAGGUAUGCUGUUUUUCUCAUACCUGAAAGAGAAUCAACCAUUUUUUAGAACGGUACUUUUUACUGUUUAAGGGUGCAGCAUGUAGUUCAAUGUCAUGGAAUCCAUUUAUUCUUUGUUUCCUUCUUCUGAGCUGUCCCAAUAGUUGAGCUUCAGUCUCUUGUUGAGGUUUAACGCUUGAUGCUGGCCAUUUCUGUGUCUGUCUUUGCUGAUGACUUUGGUUGUAACAAAAACUGUGUUUUCAUAAGAAGAGUUCUUUCAUGCUGCACAGAUUGUUUGUCUAUACCUUUACUAGAAAUUGGAUUUGCUGUUGUAUCUCAGUUAAACGGAAUUUUCUUCCCUUUAUUAAGUUGAAGUUUGGACUUUACCUAUCAAAAGAAGUUCUAUAAAAAUAAAAUUAGUCUGAAGUCUGGACUACUUUGUGUCCUUUGAAAUCUAGCUCUAAUUGAGAAUUAAUGCUUUAGUAUCUAAAAAUUAAUUCUGACUGUGGUUGCAGGAUGAGUCUGCUUUAAUAUGGUUUUCAGGUAAAGAGGAGAAACACCUGAAGCUAAGUCAUGUGUCAAGAAUAAUAUCUGGGCAGCGCACUGUAAGUUCUCCUCAUGGUGAAAAGCCUGGUUCUGUCCUGAAACUUUUUUGAUUGGUAUCUCCGUAAUACAAAUGAAUCCGUCUGUGUAUCUUUUUGUGUGGUAUCAAUACUUGUGAUUGAAGAGUCUAUACACUAGAAGGGGAACUUAAGUGAUAUCUGAUGAAGUCACAGAGAACCUUAACACUGUUUGUGAAUAGUUAUGAACUUGCUAGAAGUUUUGGCUCUAGGCACGCUUCUCCUGGCAUAAUACUUUGUCUUCUGUUCGAUGUGAUAAUGUACUUUUUGUUAUUAAAAAAAACUUGAGAGUAGAUGAAAGAUGAGGAAAAAGUAGAUGGGUGGAGAAUGAAUAGGACCAAGGUCCAAACACUGCUAAAAGAAGGUUGCUCAAUCCAUAGUUGAUUUGAUUAAUUGUGCUGUAUGAAUCUGUCAGUUUUUGUCUUUCUUGCCUUCUCCCACACAUACACACACACAUCUCUCGCUAUAACUGUCAACCAUAACAAGGCAAACGUUCUCGUUAGUAUUCACUGAUCUGAAUUAAUGCUCUAUUCCAGCCAAUUUUUCAAAGGUACCCACGACCUGAGAAGGAGUAUCAGUCAUUUUCACUUAUAUACAAUGAUAGAUCACUGGAUUUGGUAAGAGUUUCAUUAGUAACAGCUGUGUCUUUCAUUUAGAGAAAAAAAUUUAUUGUGAUUUUUGUUGCUUUGUAUUAUCCCGUGUUUGUCAGAUAUUGGUUCUUGCACCAAAUUCAUCACACCUUUGCUUGUCACUUUCUCUUUUUAGAUAUGUAAAGAUAAAGAUGAAGCGGAGGUUUGGUUUAGUGGUUUGAAGGCCUUAAUUUCUCGUGGGCACCAGAGAAAAUGGAGAAUAGAAUCAAGGAGCGAUGGAAUUUCUUCUGGUGCUACUAGUCCUCGAACAUAUACUCGAAGAAGCUCUCCUCUGCAUUCUCCAUUUAGUAGUGGUGACAGCUUGCAGAAGGUACUAUAGCAUCCACAUGUCUCCUUAUGCAUAUGCAGAUGAAAUGUAUCCUUAAAUUUUUCAUGUUUAUAUUUUGGUUUUAUUUCUCUCUCUGAGAUUUUGAAUGAGAUCCUAUAUGUCCUUCAGGAUGGUGGUGAUCAGCUUCGGCUUCAUAGUCCAUAUGAAAGCCCUCCUAAAAACGGUGUAGAUAAGGCGUUUUCUGAUGUAAUUCUGUAUGCCGUACCACCCAAAGGGUUUUUCCCUUCAGAUUCUGCUAGUGCUUCUGUUCAUUCCUUGUCUUCUGGAGGUUCAGAUAGCAUACAUGGUCAGAUGAAGGGAAUAGGGAUGGAUAAUUUUAGAGUAAGCCUUUCAAGUGCAGUUAGCUCAUCAAGUCAAGGUUCUGGUCAUGAUGAUGGUGAUGCUUUGGGGGAUGUUUUUAUAUGGGGAGAAGGCACUGGGGAUGGUGUCCUAGGUGGUGGACCUCAUAGAGUUGGCAGUUCUUUUGGUGCAAAACUAGAUUCUUUGUUUCCCAAAGCUUNNNNNNNNNNNNNNNNNNNNNNNNNNNNNNNNNNNNNNNNNNNNNNNNNNNNNNNNNNNNNNNNNNNNNNNNNNNNNNNNNNNNNNNNNNNNNNNNNNNNNNNNNNNNNNNNNNNNNNNNNNNNNNNNNNNNNNNNNNNNNNNNNNNNNNNNNNNNNNNNNNNNNNNNNNNNNNNNNNNNNNNNNNNNNNNNNNNNNNNNNNNNNNNNNNNNNNNNNNNNNNNNNNNNNNNNNNNNNNNNNNNNNNNNNNNNNNNNNNNNNNNNNNNNNNNNNNNNNNNNNNNNNNNNNNNNNNNNNNNNNNNNNNNNNNNNNNNNNNNNNNNNNNNNNNNNNNNNNNNNNNNNNNNNNNNNNNNNNNNNNNNNNNNNNNNNNNNNNNNNNNNNNNNNNNNNNNNNNNNNNNNNNNNNNNNNNNNNNNNNNNNNNNNNNNNNNNNNNNNNNNNNNNNNNNNNNNNNNNNNNNNNNNNNNNNNNNNNNNNNNNNNNNNNNNNNNNNNNNNNNNNNNNNNNNNNNNNNNNNNNNNNNNNNNNNNNNNNNNNNNNNNNNNNNNNNNNNNNNNNNNNNNNNNNNNNNNNNNNNNNNNNNNNNNNNNNNNNNNNNNNNNNNNNNNNNNNNNNNNNNNNNNNNNNNNNNNNNNNNNNNNNNNNNNNNNNNNNNNNNNNNNNNNNNNNNNNNNNNNNNNNNNNNNNNNNNNNNNNNNNNNNNNNNNNNNNNNNNNNNNNNNNNNNNNNNNNNNNNNNNNNNNNNNNNNNNNNNNNNNNNNNNNNNNNNNNNNNNNNNNNNNNNNNNNNNNNNNNNNNNNNNNNNNNNNNNNNNNNNNNNNNNNNNNNNNNNNNNNNNNNNNNNNNNNNNNNNNNNNNNNNNNNNNNNNNNNNNNNNNNNNNNNNNNNNNNNNNNNNNNNNNNNNNNNNNNNNNNNNNNNNNNNNNNNNNNNNNNNNNNNNNNNNNNNNNNNNNNNNNNNNNNNNNNNNNNNNNNNNNNNNNNNNNNNNNNNNNNNNNNNNNNNNNNNNNNNNNNNNNNNNNNNNNNNNNNNNNNNNNNNNNNNNNNNNNNNNNNNNNNNNNNNNNNNNNNNNNNNNNNNNNNNNNNNNNNNNNNNNNNNNNNNNNNNNNNNNNNNNNNNNNNNNNNNNNNNNNNNNNNNNNNNNNNNNNNNNNNNNNNNNNNNNNNNNNNNNNNNNNNNNNNNNNNNNNNNNNNNNNNNNNNNNNNNNNNNNNNNNNNNNNNNNNNNNNNNNNNNNNNNNNNNNNNNNNNNNNNNNNNNNNNNNNNNNNNNNNNNNNNNNNNNNNNNNNNNNNNNNNNNNNNNNNNNNNNNNNNNNNNNNNNNNNNNNNNNNNNNNNNNNNNNNNNNNNNNNNNNNNNNNNNNNNNNNNNNNNNNNNNNNNNNNNNNNNNNNAAAUCCCAAUAAACCCUAUCGUGUCUGUGACAAUUGCUUCAGUAAAUUGAAAAAAGCUAUUGAAACCGAUGCUUCUUCUCAGUCUUCUAUGAGUCGACGAGGAAGCACGCAUCAGGCGUCAACUGAUAUAACAGACAAGGACACUAAGUCAGAAACAAGGUCUCGGCCUCAACUCGCUAGAUUUUCUUCAAUGGAAUCCUUCAAACAUGUAGAAAACCGUUCUUCCAAACAGAAGAAAAAACUUGAAUUUAACAGCAGCCGUGUGUCACCUAUUCCAAAUGGUACCUCUCAAUGGGGAGCUCUCAACAUUUCCAAGUCUUUUAAUCCAGUAUUUGGCUCGUCCAAGAAAUUCUUUUCAGCUUCAGUUCCUGGAUCAAGAAUUGUUUCUCGAGCAACAUCACCAAUAUCUAGACGGCCAAGUCCACCUCGUUCUACUACGCCAACUCCAACAUUGGGUGGACUCACAUCUCCAAAGAUUGUUUUGGACGACGCUAAAAGGACAAACGAUGGCCUUAGCCAAGAGGUUAUCAAAUUAAGAGCACAGGUAUGUCAUUUGUAUUUGUGUAAGGAGCAGUCAUCUACUUGGGACGCAUUUUCCUCAGUUUGCUCCACAUAUUAUCCGUGGCUGAUGUGAGUUCAAAAACAAAGAUUUAAGCUUCUCUAUUAAUCUAAGAAUUUUUGGACACUUUCUGUAAUGUGAAGUGUCAAACAUGAGAUGUGGGGCAAGAAUUCCUCUAGAGUUUCUAGAGAACACCAUAUUCAUAGCAUAUUUUUUCAUACAAUGCUGAGAAAAUUCAUCCAAGUUUAUAAGAAGUAUUACUUUAUUGAUCGGUUCAUUAGAAGUGUCAUAAGACGUGAUAGUGUAACUAAAUGGACAGUGAAUCGGAGAAUUUAUUUGAGAGGUAAAAUCAGAGACUUAUUAGUAAUAUGCCAUCUUGUACUGAAUUUUUAACAAUCUUUUGAGCCUCCAGGUCACUGAUAUAUCUUCUUUUAGGCGCUAUCUUGUGGUAUGAUCCCCUGGUUGCUGCUUUUCCCUGUUCAAUGUAUCUGACAGGCUAAAAACCUAACCUAAAGGACAAUCAACUGAUCAAAAUUGUAAUCCAUCUAGAGAUUAAAAUAGAUCUUUAUUUGCAAGAGUGCAUGGCUGAAUGUGGGAAUCCCUUCACUCUUAAUAAUGACUCUACUAAUCUGCUUCAUUGUAGAUUGUGGAGGAUUACCUUUUAGAAGUUCACACCUGCAUAGAAAUAGUAUCUGCAUGAAACUUAAGUCGCUGUCAAGGCUUGUCUUCUCUGUAAAAUCAUAGAACAACUAAGAUUAUUCAUCGGCAUCUGGCAUCCGAUCAUUUCCCAAAGAUGCCUAUAAAUACAUCUCUGUGGCAUCCUUGCCCAACAGCGGAUCCAUGGUUCUUUCACAUCAAUGCAACAUGUAUUGCGCAGAUCAACUUGACCUUAAAGAGUAACGCUAUAAUAGAAACUACCUUUUAGGACUUAUAAUUGUAGUAGUGAGAGGAAAAAAAAGGAGUUAGAAAAUGUACUUCAGAUCCUUGUAUUUGGGCAAGUAGCUUUAUUUGGUAAAUGCCAAUUGUGGUGAAGAAUGGUCGAAUACAGUAAGUAAACCUAAUAUGUACCUGUUUCUGUACCAUCGUGGUACGAGUUCAAUAAAAGAUCUUACCUACCCAAAAAAAGUAAGUAAAGCCAAUUCGUUAGCUUGUGCAGAAACAUGUCUCUCAUUCAUUUGCUUUUUUUAAAGAAAUAUAUCUCAUCCCAAUUGUAAUUAAACUAAAAAAGAAACUCGCUAUCCAAAAAAACAAAAAUAGUAAACUAAAAAAGACAUAAAAGAAAGUGUUUCUCAUUCCUGUAUGUUUUAGAAUACAAAAAAGGUUAAGUAAAGAAAACCUGUCUCUUUCCUAUUCCGAAACGGAAAAAGGUGCAAUAUCUUGCAUCAAGAUCUUAAUAUGAUUUCUCAAGCACAUCAUUUACAAUGUAAUAGAUAUGCAUUUUAUUCUACUAGUUUUUAUUUACGUGCACUGCAUAUAUAUCCCAUGAUAAUUCGUACAAAAUCAAUUCAAAGAUUUGGAAAAGCGAGGAAGUGUAUAUUUUGAAAUGUUUCUUGUGGAAAUUGGGAAAAAAACUUGAAAACUUUGAAAGUAAAUUUAUUAAUUUUAUAACAAUCAAAAUUAGUUUUUUCUGUUUUUAUUAUGUCACUGUAAAAUGAAAUGGUGAAGUUUUUUUUGCCUUUUUAAGUUGUGGAAGGAUGGGUUUAUCAAUGGAUGUUUGGCUUUGCUUUGGAAGGAGAAAAUACUCGCGUUAAUUUUGACUUAAUAUUUUACCUUAUUUUUACUUUUUCAAAGAAAGAACGAAAAGGGAUUUCCAUAGGAAGCAAAUUUGGGGUCUUUGGGCCAACAUCAUGUAACUACGAAACUGAGUUAUUUAUUUCAUCUUUUAAUUUGGAAAAAAGAACAAGAAUAGGAACUCCAGAAAAAGAAAAGUUAGGGUCUCUAGGCCAACACCACGUAAGAAUGUAAUUAAUUUGGCUUUAAGAAUGAUAAUAGGUGCAUGAUGUCUAAAUAAUGAAGCUUUCGUAUUAAUUAAUAAGGUCAAAUAAUGAAUAUAAGGAGAUAUUGAAGUUUUUAAAUGAAUUCUAUUUACAAGUCUAUCCAAAAUGGAAUGCACUUAUGAAAGAUAAAAAAGGUCUAUCGACAUGUGUUAGAGUAUAGAUAGACACUAGACCUUUGUUUCUUUUUUACCUUUCUGCUUUCCUCUUUGUCUUUUUGUGUGUUCUGGGAGGAAGAGGCAGGGGGGGCAAGAAGGGAAUAAUUGAGUCAUCUACCAGAUCAAGGCUUAUCCCCAUAUGAAAUGCAAUUGCUUACACUAAAAAUGUAAGCCUGCGGGAAAGUUAUGAAUUAUAGUCCAUCAAUGAUCUCCUCCUGUUUUGACUGAGUUUAAUCUCCCGAUCAAAUGCCCUUUUGUAUAGUACCAUGUACUUUAUGAUGUCCUCCAGUCUUGCUUAAGUACAUCUUGUAUGUAGAGAUUUUAGGUUCGGAUAAAUAUCAACCAAUCAUCUACGUUUCAAUCCGAAUCCAAGUGGAGUCGGCUAGUGAAUCUUCUAUAUCCAUUUUGUUCUAUUCUGAUUUAUUACAUUCCAAUACCGGACAAUUUGCCUUUUUAGGCAAAUCAGCUGUGUGGGGACCUUUUUUUCCAUUUGGUCCUUCAAUUGUGCUACUUACCUCUUUGGUUGGAUAAGAUCAUUUGUAAUCUUCUCUGUUUUUAAAAAUAGAGAUGAAUUUUUGUAUUCUUGUCCUUAUUCAGUCUAAUAUCUUGCAUAUUCUUGUCCGUAUUCAUCUUAAUAUCUUGCAUACUUAUGGCAGUCAUCCAUGGAUAUGUUGGGCUUUAAGCCUCAAUAUUUACUCCUAGAUAUAUGCAUGUCUCAACCAUCCUAUAAAACUUACUGUUCACCUUUUAGUUAUCUUUCUGUCCAUGGCAUUAUCGCACUUUCCAUUUCAGGCGUCCUUUUUAAUGCUGUGUUACAUCUUAUAUAUAGUGCCAUUCUCAUGUAAGUGUGAGACUAGGAUCUAAAUUGUCUGUAUUAAGCAUCACGAUUUUUUAAAAAUUGAAUCAUCCGAAUCAAAUGAAUGAAUUAUUCAUUAGAAAAAGCACUGUGUUGAACGAUCUUCAUCAUAGGUGGAAAAUCUCACGCGCAAGGCUCAACUUCAAGAGAUAGAACUGGAAAGAUCUGGUAAGCAGCUAAAGGAGGCAAUAGCCAUUGCUGGAGAAGAGACUGCCAAAUGCAAAGCAGCAAAAGAAGUUAUCAAGUCACUUACUGCUCAGGUAAGCUGCUUUAGUUUUUAUGUCAAAAAGUUGCGCAUGCUUAUGAUGAAAUAUAUGCCUGUCUUCGGAAUAAGUUUCCCAGCACAAAUUGUUUCUGUUUUGACUUCAUGAAAUGCGGCAACUCUUAUAAAUAAGAAUGUGUUCCACUUAAAAAAAUCUAAAGCUGGAUUAGGAAAAUAAAGCUUUCAUUUACUCUAAUAAAUUAUUACUGCUUAAUUUAUUAAACAGACUUUCAAGUAAGAUGGUCUAACAACAUUGAGAUACAUAUACAUAUAGGUCUAUGAUUUUUAUGCAGUCGUUUGAUAUAGACACAAAUUAAUUUCUGACCAACGAAGUAUGUGGUUGUCAUUACUCAGAGUAUCUCUCUGUUUUGGUCUAGAUGCGAGUGUGCAUUUUCUUUUGUCAUCGUGUUAUCAGUUGUGCUAAAACACUUAAUAAUGCAUACUUUAUCUUUUGUGUCUUUAGGUCAUAAGUUUUUGUAAAAUGACUACUUUAAUCUUAUGGCAUUUCUCGAAUAUGCAUCUCGGAAUUGUCUUUUUGUUAUGUCAAAGUAAUUGCGUGUGAUUUUGGUUCAACAAUCGUAUUCGAUUAACAAUCUACUUCAUCCUUUUCAAAUAGAAUGUCAUUUAUUUCUCUCCCAAAACUAUUGGGAUUUCUUUCGUACCAAUGUCUAGCUUCAUGAAAUCCGAGUUCCAACAUUUUUUGUAUACCUGCAAAAGUUAAGUGGACCCAAAUUUUAUACGUGACAAAAUUGCAAUUCUACUUUUUUUGUUGGCAGUUAACCUUUUAAGUUCACAUGGAAUAUAGCUUGCGUGUAAAAGGAUGAAGACACUCAGUCUGUAAAACAACAGAUGGAAAAAAGAAAGUUUCUUUAUAAUUUGCCGUUCAUUCUUUUGGAUUUGUUUUAACAGUUCAAGCUUUUCAUAGUUUAGCUUGUUUUCCUUAGUGGUCAGGUUAUGUGCGAUUGCUCAUCAGUAUCCUUUUAGUUUAGUAUUUUUGUUGCCCUUCUAUUGAAGAUAGAGAUGAUUUGUAAAGUUAUUGAAAACAUAAUUUUCUGUUGACCUGCCUUUCAUUAGCUUCUUUUGCUGAUAAUCUGUUUUGUCGUCUUUAUCUUUCAUAGCUGAAGGAGAUGGCUGAGAGGUUACCAGUAGGUGCUUCCCGGAACAUCAAAUCUCCUACAUCUUUUUCCUUGGCUUCCAAUCUUACCGCCGGUGAUAUACCAAAUGGCUGUAUUGACCGAAUUCAUAGUCAACUAACUUUCCAAGAUGUGGAGUCAAAUGUAUCUAACAGCCAACUACUUUCUAACGGAUCAAGCAAUGCCAGUAAUCGCAAUGCUGUUCAAAACAGACAAGGGUUUCCAGAACCAACCCCAAGAAAUGGGGCCAGAACAAAAGAAGGUGAUUCUCGUAAUGAGAAUGAAUGGGUCGAACAAGAUGAACCAGGUGUAUAUAUUACACUUACCUCCCUACCUGGAGGUGUCAAAGAUCUUAAACGUGUUCGCUUCAGGUACGCUAACUAUGGCUUAAGGUCACCAAAUUUGAUGGAAUUAAUCCUCUGCAUUAUUCUUGUCAAAAUAAAUGAUCUCCUGUAAUUAUUCAUUAUGUUAUUUCUGCGGGUAGUUACUUUUCAAUUUCUCUGAGCACAUUUCAAGGAAUAUGGUUUGAGCCUGGCCAUGCUAUCUCUCUGUUAAAGUGAUCCAUCUCUCUUUAGUAGAAAUGAGAAAAAUAUCCUCAUUAGGAAUCGCUCCUGUCCUUGGACUGAUUUCCUAAUUUUUCAAAAAAAGGAUAUUUUAGUUUGACGCAAAAGAUCCUUCAUGCAUUUAGUUCUUUUGCAUGUAGUUGUUGACUACAUGCUUCUAUGUUGGUUGUCAAAACUUCGUUUUACCAUUUAGACAUCAUAAACGGAACGGCAUGGUCACUAAGGAUUCAUAUCGAACCCAACUUCCUUGGUACAGAGGCAUAGUUGCUGUACAUUGGAUUCAUCUCCAGUAGAGAUUUGUUACCCAUGUAGGAAUAAGCUUGAGAUCUUAGAGAAGUUCUAGUUCUAGAUGAUCCCUAAUUUUCCUUAAAAUGGAAAUUAUUUAGCAUCAGAGUGAUAUUAGUCUAACUAAAGUAGAAUGCAUACGAUUCAUAUAGCCGACCCACAUAGUUUAGGAUUGAGGCAUAGUUGAUUGAUUGAGAAUUCAUUUCAGAAUCCUGCACAAAGAAAAAUGUUUUGUUUGUUUGCUUAAAAACAAUUGGUUGGUUGAUUACAAUGACAUUCUGUGUGUGAAUGCUUUAAGUUUCAUAUAGCCACUUUUCCGUUGGAAUCAAAAGACUGAUGUGUCCUAAAAUGCAGUCGAAAACGAUUUAGCGAGAAACAAGCUGAACAGUGGUGGGCAGAGAACCGCGCAAGAGUUUAUGAGCAGUAUAACGUCCGCAUGGGGGACAAGUCAAGUGUUGGCAGUGUAAGCGAGGACUUACCACAUUGAAACAUGCUAAUAAAUUUGUAAGUGAUUUUUUCUUUUCUUGGCCUCUUCUUUUUCUUCUUCCCUGUCGGAAAAAUCUCUGCUUUACGGGGAAGUUCAUAUUCAUCGCUUAGUUUGGCUUCUCAAAUCUGUGGGGUGGUAUCAGGGGUUGUCAUAAAAAAGAACUAGGAUUAGAGGUUUGCUUCUAAGUUUUCAUUAGAUUUUUCAUCUUCUUCUUAUGGCUUGACCUGUUAUUUUUCCUUUUUCCAUUUCCCCCCUCCAUAAUGGUGUUUGUGGGGAAUUGAGGGUGAGAGAUGUAAAGUUUUAACUGCUUGCUCUUAUUGAGAGUAGCUUCCUUGUAAAUUUCUCUAGUAAAUGCAUCUUCUGAUUUCAAAUCCCUACCCUCUUUUUACAUUCCAUUUUUGUUGCAAGUGGCUUUGCUUAUGCAAUUAGGGGUCGUUUGGUUGCUGAUUACAGGGUAAGCUAUUCAUGUAUUAGGGGAAACAUAACUAAUACCAUGUUUGGUAACCUUUAGUUACUUUAUACAAAAGUUAUGUAUUAUUUAGAAUGUACAUGUAUUGGUUUUACAUGGAUUAAACAAUCAAAUGACCAAAACCCCCUCAUAUUUGUUUUAAAUUACACAUUGUAUAAUUAAAAUAAAUUAAACAUUUAACAAGAAAUAAUAUCUACAUUACAAUCCAUAAAUUACUAAUCUAUGCAUUACUAGUCCUUGCGUAACUAAUCCCUUCAUAAUUAAUCCCUACAUAAGUCAUAACUAAUACUUGCAUAACUCUAACUAGUAACCCUACUUAGUACUUGUUUGUCUCUCUUCCUCUCAGCUAGUUGAAGCAUGCAGAUAUUUUCAUUAUUUAUCUUUAUUAACCCCGGUGUCUCGGUCAACUUGAGCGCACCUCGACUAAUUUCAUGGGAUACCGAUUUGACUAUUUAUAUUAAGCAAAGAAAGGACAAUUUUGAGGAGAUUCAGACCAAGACAUCCACGAAGAUACAAUUUGGGAAAAAGAUAACAUGCCUGCAAAUUAUGUUUCACGUAAAGAGAGAAACUUACCGGUCCAUGCGGAGACAUUUUCGCUAUAAAGAAGUUAAAAUUCAAGACACAACUCGCAAUUCGGAUCACAGUAGGGGUGGCAAACGGGCGGAUCGGGGACAGAUAUGAGUGGGUCGAAAAUGAAUAAAAUAUCUGACCCGACCCAUAUCUAAUAUGGAUUAAAAAAAUGGGUUAACCGAUGGAUAAUAUGGAUAUCUAUAUUUUUCAUGGCUUCUUGAAUAUGAUCACUUCCAGAUAAUUCUUACUCUCCUAAACUUGAGUAAUUCCCAAUUUGAGUCUUUGCAAGUGUAAAAGUUAAAUCCAUUGGUUAUCCAUUUUUUAAAGUGGAUAAUAUAAACUUUAUCCAUAUUUGAUCCAUUUUUAAAAAGUUCAUUAACCAACCCUCUUUUUAACGGAUAAUAUGAAUGGAUAACUGAAUUUUUUAUCCAUUUUGCCACCACUAGAUCGCAGUAUCACGGAUUUGAAUUAUCAUGAGAGAUUGCUAUCAGUAUAAAUUAUGUUUAGAAGCAACGUUGGCGCUUGACUUGAGUAAAUGAAAAACGCAAAUAUAAGCAAAGUUAAAAUGUGUAACGUUUAAGCUGCUCUCUCAACAUAUGUCAAUAUAAUCAUUUAAAAGGAAACAACAGUGAAAAUGUCUCAAACUGCAAAUCCGGAGUUACCAUUCGAACACGCUAUAAAACUUUUUCCCUUCUCUUUUUUUGAUGAUUAUUGUUAAAUGAUGGAAAGAGGGGAACGAGGUUACACCAUGGCCUACCAACUGAGCCAUAAACUGCAGCAGAAAUGUUAGAGAAAAGCUCAAUUUUGAAUCACCAAUUCAAGCAUCAUAACUUAACUGAAAUACACAAAAAAAUAUAGGAAUUACACAGGCACACUAGUCUGAUAACGACUCGGGUAAUCAAAAAGUUUAACUGCAGCUAGCAAAGAUAUGCUUAGUAAGACUUUCCACAGUGUAUCAAGCUCCCAGCACCCAAGAAGAGACCAAAAAUGGCUGCACUGCCCAAAGUUGUUUGUCCAAUGUAUCUGAUUUUCAUAAGACCAGGCACCUGCAAUUUCCAUUAAAGUUAACUGAUAUCAUUAGGCUAAUACGUCGAAGCAAAUUGCAUUUAGCAGCAACACUUUUUUCCAAAAUAAAAGUCUAUAACUUUUUUCCAAAAUGGCAAUAUCCGGGCCAAACCAUGUGCACCUCGACUAUCCACCGACUACCUGUUACUUCCCACCAGCAUAAGCAAUAAAUAGUUCUCCCUCCAAAACUUAGGUAGAUGGAAAGAAAUCAGUGGUUUUUCUUCUAUACUGUGACAGUAACUUUAUGCUCGCGAAAAUGUUCAUACCAGAUCCCUCUCUAAUUUACCAGAAUUACUUCUGAUCUUUCUGUAAUGUGUUAAAUCUUGCAACUUUCCAGAAAUGACAUUAGAGGAAAUUACCAACGGAUGCCAAUAAAAAAAGAGAUACCAAGCCUGUAUGCUUUACUUGUCAUAUUUUCAGCAUCUUAAUAAUAAAUCUAAAAGAUCCAUCUCUGCCAUAAAUUCAACAAUGACAUAACAAAGGCAUUAAUAGUAAUUUGUUAUCAUCGGAUCAAAAAGAGAGAGAGAGAGAGAGAGAGAGAGAGAGAG
rnacentral:lncRNA from 1 species